rnacentral:lncRNA from 1 species
GGUGGUGUUGGUCUGAGUCUUUGAAAAAUAAUCUCAUGUUCGAUUUCCUUUGAUAUCAAUUUCAAUGAACUAGUUUAAUUUCUUCAAAAAAGAAAUAGCAUUCUUUAAAUAAAUAAAUAAAAACAAGUCCCACAUAACCAUUAAAAUACAAAAAUGUUAGAUUGAUUCGAAUAUUGGAGCUGAAUCUCUCCAAGGUAUGGGCUUAAAAAAAAUUAUAAUCAAGUAGUACUACUAAGUACUAUCCUACUCCAAAGACUGGCCCUGGUUGUCGGGAAAGAAAAUGAUUGAUAAUGAAUUUAGGAUAAAGACCUUUUUUAAUUAGGUGAUAAAAAGAGAAAUUCAUGUAGAAGAAUUAUUUUGGAGAUAACUUUUAACAUUUGAAUUAAGAGUGAUGAUAUUUGUACAACUCUUCGGUACAACUUUUAUGAUAACUUUAGUUUUCUCUUCUUUGAUUGGUCAAAAAUAAUAGAGAGAGGAAGAGAAAGAAUAAGAAGAUAAUGUGAGUAUGAGAGAGAAAAUUGUCAAAAAGUUGUUAAAAAAUGAUUGUACAAAUAUCAUUUCUCUUGAAUUAAAUGUAAUGAAUAGAUGAUAUUUGGUGUCAAACUAAUUUUACCACCAUGAUGUCAUUUGAUCUUAUCCCUAUAUAAUGGAUGUCCUAUAAAUAAUGUGAAGUGAAAUGUAAAUGAUUUAGACUUUUCAACAAUACAUCUUUAAUUUUUUUGGGAGUCCUUUUUUCCACGUUCAAAAUCAAUUUAGAAGUAAACCUAAAAAAAAAAAGUUUAAUAAAAGUUUUAGCCUCCUAACUUUCUCAAAGUUGUGAUUUUGACCCCCUAACAAAAAUUACAAAACCGCCCCCUAAGUUUUGCAUAUGUGGCAGUUUUGGCGCCCAAGAUCAAUUUUGAUUCGGUCUACGCUGACGUGGCACCCUAAGUGAAGUGCCACGUGUUAUUUUUUUUACCAAAAAUUGACCUUGGGGGGCCAAAACUGCUACAGUUGAAAAAUUUGUGGGGCGAUUUUAUAGUUUUUUUCUUAGGCUGCAAAAACUGCUAUUAAACCAAAAAAUAUUUUUACCCUUCGAAAGUUUACUUUCAAACAAAGAUAUAGUUUUCUUGCUCUCUUGAACUAUACUUUCGGAUGCAUGCAUGUGUUUUUCUUAGGAAUAUGAAGUGGAAAAAGAAGCUAAGCUCUUUAAUUUUAUUUUAUUUUACUCUUUAAAAAAAAAAAAAAAAAAAAAAAUCUCUAAAGUAAGUCCAAUCCAUUAACACUAUUAGAUGAGCCAAUUCUGAAAAAUCCAAGAGUUUAUCGGGUGGAACAACUUAACACACCUACACUUCUAAAAACACCACAUAAUUUCAGAAGUAUAUUUCUAGACAGAACCUAAACUGUGUUUUGUCUGGAAGUAAGAACAGCACAAAAGUUAUAAUUUUUUGUAGGUGUGCAUCUAAAGGCAUUUGGAGGUGAGAAAAGUUCUUCUCACUAUGAACAUGGUAGGGCCGGGGUGGAGUAAACAGAAUGCUGUACAAUUAGUGAUUGUUUUGUUGUGUGUAUAUUGUUUUAAAGAUUAUAAAGAGGAGUGUAUAUGAUAAUUGUUGGAACACUUAAUCAUAUUAAUAUCUAGUGUAGAUAGAGGGGAAGAAAUGUGCUCCAUUAAUUAAUUACCACUGUUAAUGGUGAUAUAUUGUCAAAAAGAAAAAUGUUAGUGGUGAUAUGAUAAUAAAGGUAGUGAAGAUGAAGAAUGCUAACCUGCUUGUUAAUAUGUGCCGGAAGGGUCUUUUCUUUAUGAUGCAGAAUCUUCUUUAUUUCUCUCUUGCUAGCUCGGCUAUCAACUUCUCGUGGUGUAUAUAGUUUGUCAUCAAAUCCUCCUUUAUAUCUACAGAUAGAUAUUUUUUUCCUCACUCUCAUAAUAUAUAGAUAAUAUAUUUUAGUGUAUUAUUUGGAAUACGUAUUAUAAUGAUUACUUAUAUCAAUUUUCAAUACAAAUUUAUAAUUAGAUUCAUUGGUUCGAUUCUCUUCGGUGUCAAUUUCAGUGGAUUACGUGUAUUUUAAAAGAUUAAUCAAACUUUCAACACCUUAUUUGAUGGAAAUUACAAGAGAAUAGAGGUAAAGUUGAGGAAAUGUGAAGAAUCAUGAGAUGACAGAGGGCCAAAUAAAGGACGUCAUACACUUACACAAUGAUUGUCAUUUUUUGGUUGCACUUGUAUAUAUAUCAAUCCUCUAUUAUUAUUUUUUUGAACGAAAUAUCAAUCCUCUAUUAAUCAUGCAAUGAUUGAUUUUUUUUUAGAAGGAACACCCGAACUAACGUUGAUUUACUCUUUUUUCUAGAUGAGGUCAAAAUAAAUGCACCCUCGGAUCACUAUAUAUUAUAAACAAAAAUUUAUUUUUUAGGUUUAUUUAAUAAAUGAUAUAUGUGGUCUAUAUAAUAAACUACAUAUAUCAUUAUUGAAUGAAUCUAAAAAUUAAAUUUUUGCUUAUAAUAAUGACCAGAUGACAAAUAUAUAAUAACGAUUUAGCGCGUACUUACUUGGCAAACUUUAUUUUGAAUUAGGUCAUGUCUGGUCCAGAUUAGUUUUUGAAUUCUACAAAAUACCAAGAUAUGAACUUUUAAAGUAUAUUGUUAAAAAUCCUUAAAGAAAAACGUAUAUUGUCAAAAAAUAAAGUAUGCGAUAGUUAUUUUUAGAAUUUUUGACGUAUAUAUAAUGAACUUUUAAUUCGAUGAAUGAACUUUGAUUUUUGACUACGUAUGGUAUGUACGUAUCAUGAAACCAUACGAUAAUUGCAUGUUGAAAUUUGUAAUGUUACAACCGACAGCUUGUUAGUUGUUUUUUUAAUAUAUUUUGACUAAUUUCGUUUUAUUUAAUAUUUAUACCUUACAUUACAUGGCAUUCAGUGGUUGUCUUAAUUUUAAUUGUAUAUAUAACACAAUUCUUUACGUAUGGACCAAAACAAUCAAAUUGUGAAGACAUACAUAUGUUUUCACAAUUUGCAUAGGAAGAUGAGUUUGUGGGAGAACUUUAGUUAUUUCUUCAAAAUGUGACUUUGCAGGUUGACAAAGAUGAUCGAUGGUUAUGAAAUUUGGAAUCAUUACAUACAUUUUCUAUUCGUAGUGCUUAUAAUUUCAUGACUCUACAACCUCAUAUUGCUUCUACGGUGGUUGUGUCAUCUCUUUGGCAUAAAGAUGACCCUCUGAAGGUUGUGAUGUGCAUUUGGCAUCUGUUUCGAGAUAGGUUGCCUACAAAGGAUAAUCUUCUUCGUCGUGGAGUUAUUGGUAACGAUUCCCGAAUGUGCGUUGGAGGGUGCGGUUAUGUGGAAACUUCUGCUCAUUUAUUCUUACAUUGUAAUAAUUUUGGGUCCGUUUGGCACCUUAUUUAUCAUUGGUUGGGCACUUCCUCGGUUAUCCCUUUUUAUGUAGCGGACCAUUUCAAUCAAUUCAGCUAUGGCGGGAGUGGUUCUAAGGUGCGGCGUUCCAUAUUACAGGUUAUUUGGUUUGCAACUGUGUGAGAAAUUUAUAAAGAAAUAAAUAACAGGUUAUUCAAUGGCUAAGAAUGCUCGAUCGUGCAAGUGGUUGAUAAGAUUAAGCCACUUGCAUUCAUGUGGUUGAAGGCGAAAUUUGCUUCCCUUCCCUUCAAUUAUCAUGGUUGGUGGCUUAGUCCGUUUAUCAUGUUGGGCAUAGACUAAUAGUUAUUUCUUUUCUUGUUUUUGCUCAUUUUCAGUUUUUAUCUUGUAAAUACUGUCUUGACUCUGUUGUUUCUUCCUUGGUUCACCUUGUGAAAUGACAUUUUAAUUUGAUAAUAUAUUUCAUUUUAGCCUCUAAAAAAAAUACAAUUUUUUUUAAGAAACAUAGACAUUUUUUUAUCAUGUAUAAUGAUUCGCCACGUCUGCCUGUCGAUGUGUGAUCAUGAAUUAGAUGCAAUAAUAGCGAGACUUGAUAUUCCUUCAACAAAAAAAAAAAUUAGUGAGACUUGAUAUCUUUAAAUAAUUGUGUCAUUGCAGGAGGUGGGGUUGUUUGUGGUAGACUGGUAGUUUUAUUGCUCAUGGGGACUCUUAGUAACUUGUCUUCUUCCCUAAAAAAAAGUAUCUUGUCUUCAAUGUGUAUAAUAUUUCUUUUAAGGGAAACAAAUUAUUCUCGGAGCGUUCCAGAUAAACUUUAUUUUCUAAUACAUAAAAGAUAUAAACUUUCCAUAAAUAUUUAUUUAUUUCAAACAUCUUUAAAGAGUGUCCAUGCACUCGAUAACAAACCAUUUUUUAAAGAUUAAAGGCUAAAUUGCAUAUUUGAACCAUUAAUUUAUUUGUUGUUUUUAUAUUGGUCCUUUAGUUAGUUGUUAAUACGUUUUAGUCCUUCAUUGUUAUUUUCGUCAGUCUAAUUGAUCAUUUACUUUUAACUUUUAACACUAGUGUCUAAGAUGGAUCAACAUUGUAGAUGAUCCAUCAAAGAUUUCAUUAAGUUUAUUAACAUUAACCGUUUGAUGUUUUUCUUUUAAACACAAUUGAUAUUUUUCUUUUAAACACAAUUAUUAGAUCACACAUGCCUACUAUAUCUAAUGGUGCACCCCCACACCUAAUCUUUUUAACUUUUCUUCAUCUUCUUCUCUUCUCCUCAUCUUCAUCUUCAUCAUAUUCAUCAAACCAAAUCCAAAAUAAACUCAAAAUCAUCAAGAGAAACAAGAAAUUUAACUUCAACAUCAUUAUCUCAUUUUUGCUUCGUCACUUUCAAAAGUAACAUCUAUACCCGAUCUCUCCAUACCAAUUAUUUCAAUGGAUUUUUCCAAAAUCUCCACCAUCCAUUCAGUUCUAAAAUAUAUACCCGAAUAAGAGAGAUAUUUAGAGAGAGUUUUCAUUAUUCAUCCAACGCAACACAUCACAGUCACAAAUCCUUAUCCAAUGGAUUUUCCCUCAAAUCUUCCAUCGGAGAAUUUUAAGGUUUCUCAUUUUUUCUCAAACCUUCUUCGAAUUUCUUCAUAAUUUUCCAUACUUUAAUCCAACUUAGAAACUACAUUGCCAUUUUCUUCAUGUUCCUUAUUCUUUUGUAGAUUUUCUUUUUUGGGAAUAUUUACUUUUUACAUAUUGGGAUUUUUUUAUUCACAUUUUAUUUUUUCUUUGCAUAACCGAAUUUUGAACUUUAAGAAUGUUUGUAAACCUAAUUUAUGAUAAUCAUGAGGAAGAAAAUAAAAGGAAUUGAGAUUGAUUCAUUUACGGAUUUCGGUUUCGCUAAUUUGGUUUUGGAUCAAGGUAGAUGUGGAUAAUUUUGAGUUUGUUUAUGGGUUUUAUCUGGAUUUGAUUUGAUGAAUAUGACAAAGGUCCGGAGGAGAAGGGAAGAAGAUGAAGAAAUGUUAAAAAGAUUAGGUGUGUGGGGUGCACCAUAAAGUAGUCAUGUAUGAUCUAAUGGUUGUAUUUAAAAAAAAAAAAAAUUAAACAAUUAAUGUUAAUCAAAUUAAUGAGGUCUUUGGUGGAUCCCCUACAAUGUUAUCCACCUCAAACAUUGGUGUAAAAGAUAACAGAAAAGGACCAAUUGGACUGACAUAAGUAAUGUUGGACCAAAACGUAACAACAAUUAAAUAAGUAACCAAUAUGAAAAUAACAAAUAAGUUAGGGUAACAAAUAUGCAAUUUAGCCAAAAUUAAACUAUCAAAAUUAGUUUAUGACUCUUUAGAUAGAUCUUAAAUAGAUUCCCAACUUUAUGAAUAUUUCAAAAAGGUCAUUGACUCUUUUAAAUUUUAUUGAUAUUAAUCCUUUAAAAAUAUGUCAGUGAAUAAAUUAAUUGUAAGUGAAUAAAUUUAAGUACCAAAUUGAAAAUAAGUUGUUAAAAUAUGGGGUUGAAUUGAUAGGAAGUGGUUUUUUUUUUUUUUAAGAAGCUAUUGAUAGGAAGUGGUUAAAUAUACAAAAUCAACUUUCUUCAACCAGAGAUGUAUGGUCCAUCAAUACUUCAUUGCUUUUGACAUUAUCAUCAAAAUUCAUCACUUAAUUCUAAUGUCUAGAACAGCAGAUGCGACAAAAUUCUACUGUCGCAAAGUUGUUACAACGUGAAAAUAUAGAAGCUGUUGAAGCUUCAUUGGCAUACGUUUGGUCACUCUUCAACGCGAAAACGAACACACCAUUAGUAGAAUCUUCCAUGCUAGGCGAGUGGCAAAUGAAAGAAAAAGGUAUGUAGGGUUUAGAAAUGGAAGAAGAAAAUUUUUUUAGAAGGUUUGAUAGAAGAAAAAGUGAUUCAAUUAAAAUCUGCGAUAAAAAAUCUCAAAAUCUCAAGAAUCCAAUAAAUAAAUAGAAUAGAUCAAUGAAGCUUCAAAGAAAAUCUUCUUAAAAAAAUUUCAGAAAAAAAAUAGCGGAAUAACUAUCUCCAAUAUCAUUUUAUUGUUAUUGAAGCUAUUGACAAGAAAAAAGUAGAGAAAAAGUUGUAUUUUUUUUAGCCGGAAUUUGAACCCCGAACCUUGUAUAUAUUAUGCAAAAAAGUAGAGAAAAUUUGUAUUUUUUUUUGUGGUGACCAGGAUUUGAACCCCGAACCUUGCAUAUAUUAUGCAUUGUCUAUACAAACUGAGCUAAGCUUAUGAGGACAAAAUUGGAUGCAACACUUAUAUAGUCUAUGAAAAAACAAAGGGUUCUGCUAACCAGUGCCCCGGGGGCACUGGAUAAGGAACAUUAAAUAGAUAUAAAUGAAUAGAUCUUACAUGAUUUACCUCAAUUAAAAUAGGAAAUAAAUCAACUAAUUAAAAUAAGAAACAGUUAUAUUUAAUGGGUCAAAUUUCUUGUCCCACUCCCAUUGUAUUAAUGCCUUCAUAUUUAUUAAAAAAAAUUCCAGCAAUUUUACUCAAGGAAAUUUGUUUUACGUGAUUUUCUUUUUAAUCAUUUUCUGAAAGCCUAUGCAUAUAAUUAGUAACAUAUCCAAAUAAAUUGAAAAUAAAUUAACAAUUCCAAAGAUAAAACAUAUUAAAUUAAAAUAUUCAAAGAUAAAACAUAUCCAAUUAAAAUAUCAAAUACAAAAUUUUCAAAUGUGUAAUUAAAUCCUCUUCAAAACAAAAUAGGAUUCCAUGCUUUGUAUAGUCAACCUCCUUUUCAAAACUUGUAGAAAUUCCACUCCAGAUGGUAUGCAUAUUUCUAUUAAAAGAACAUACAAUAUAACCAAAUAAAUUAAUUUUAAUUAGUAACAAAUAAACAUAAUUAUACAAAAAUUAGAAAUAUAGAGAAUUUAAUAAAUAAAAUGAAUAAUAAAUGUGUACCUAAACUUUUGGAAGGAGAAUUGGAUUUAAAUUUGGAUCGUCACAAAUUUUCUUUUUCUUGUUUGCCUUUUUCUUUUCCUUAAGUGGGCAUGUGGCAAUGUUAUGUCCUAAACCUCUGCAUAAUCCACAAGUGUUCAUAUUAUGUGAUAGCUCUUUUCCACCUUUAAGUCGUCGUCGUUUGGGACGACCUUUAGGUUUGGAUUUUGGAGGACAAUGAACAACAUGUUGUGGUUGAGGUUCAUUGUUACAAUCUAGUACUUGCUCCUCACCAACAACAUUAACUUGAGACUCCACAUCAUUAUCAUCGUAUGAUACUUGAAGCAACCACCGUGAAGGCAAGUAGUUAGAAGGGAUUUCAUGACAAUCUUUAUGAAGAAAAAUACUAAGAAUAUGACGACAUAAUAUCCCCCAAAAUUCAAAGAGCUUGCAACUACAUGUAGCUACCUUACCAUCCCAAAACACUACAUGUUUCCUACUAUUAAUAUCUUUAUAAAACCGCACGACAAACACAUUACCAUUUUCAUGAUCAAUUGAAUAUUGUGAGGACCUCGCAAACUCCUCUUGAAACUUUUGAAAAGAAAAACGAGUGAGAACACUAUGAGCUUGCUCUUGUAAAGGUGACAUCAACUUCAUAUUUGAUCCUUUGCACUUCUCUAACAUUAUAUCGUGGUCUUCUUUUUGCUUAAUAUCAUCAAUUGCUACAUCAACCUAAAAUUAAUAUAAAUGAAUUAAUAUGGAGUUUUGUGAAUAAACAUCAAUGAAUCAUACCUUCCAAACUAACGAGUUCUAAUAUAAUGAUCAAUACAACAUACCUGCUUUGCAAAGUCAGUUAAACUUGUGUGAGAAUUGAUGAAUCUUUUAAUGAAAGCAUUAAUACUCUCCGAUCUUCCUGUGGUUGUCAUUCCACCAAAGAAAUGAUCACGAAGAUAAGCGAGUGCCCAAUCAUUUCUGAUUUCAUACAAUCCUUUCACAUGUUUAUUUGACUGCAAGUUAUACUUAGCAACAACUUCUGGCCAUUGAUGCUCAAAUUCUUCACAUGUCUCUAACUUAUACAACUCAUAAAAUUCAGAACACCAUUUUGCAUAUUUGUCUCGAAGUAGAGCAUUAAACCAAGAACUAAACUUGAAAGUUAUGUGCCAUAUGCAGAAACUAUGUUUUGUCGAUGGAAACUCUUUUGAGAUUGCUUCUUUCAUCCAUGGAUCUUGAUCGGUUAGUAUAGUCGUUGGUGGCUUCUUCAUCAAAGAUAUAAAAGUCUAUAGAGAAUUUAAAAGCAUUUAGAUUAUCUAUGUUAAUUAAAGACGAGAAGCAUAUGCAUACCAGAAAGGGACAUAUAAUCAAAUAUUUGUUUAAUAAAAAAGAUAUUUGAGAAAUAGUUACCUUCAUUAGCCAACGAAAUGCAUACACUGUUUCGUUCCGUAAGAGUGCACAUCCAAAAAGUAUAGUCUUUCCAUGAUUAUUCAUACCCACAAAAAUCCCAAAUGGCAUUUCAUAAGAAUUGACCUUGUAUGUAGUAUCAAAUACAACAACAUCACCGUAUUUUUGGUACCAAUCAAAACAAGAAGCCGAGGACCAAAAAAUAUGCUCUAACCUUCUUUCUUCAUCAAGUGUAUAAGCAUAUUGAAAUUUAGAGGAAGUUUUUUUUGCACCCUCACAAUACUUCAAAAGAUCCAUGACAUCACUUCCUUCAGUUUUUUUAUUAGCUUUCACAUAAAGAUUGCGAAUGUCCUUUUCAGUAUAUGGAAGAUAACCAUGCUUCACAUUUUUCUCUAGUUCUAUAACCCGCAUUAUUUGUCUAACCGAAAGCCCACCUUCUUUUAAUAAGAAAAUGCGUUCACGGUCAUCUUCUAAGAUAAUUCGAUAAGCCGGUAAAAAACGCACCUCUGUUUGGGUUAGCAAACCAUGGUUGUGUUUGACAAUAAACGAUGUGACUCGCCACUCAGUUGGAAAUAUAUCAUGAGAUUUUUGUAAUUUGAUUCGUAAAUGAGCUUUGCAUUCACACUUUGAGGAUUGUCUAUUUCUCUGCUCUUUUGAUGGUUCCAUUAUUUUCAAGGAUGCUUUACCUUCACGAUGACAAAAAAUAUCACGUCUGCAAAUAACCCCAUUCUUUUUUACGAAUCUACCUUUUUUAAUUGAGAACCCUUGUUGAUAAGCAUAUCUCUUAUAAAAGACAUAGGCUUCUUCUUCACUAAGAAAAAUUUGACCAACAAAUGGAACACAAUUUGUCUCAGUUCCGUCUUUAUCGACUUCUUCAUUUGUUGCAUUAUUCAGACUUAAAACAGAGUUUUCUUUCUCAACAUUCUCCACUAAAUUAUGAUCAAGUUGCUCACUAAUUAUUUCUGAAGAACCAUUAUCUAUAAAAAUAUCUUCUAUUGGAUAUUCAUUCAAAUCAAAACUUAUUUUAUUGUUUGUCUUUGUAGCACUAAUACUAUCCAUUAUGUUAUUUAUCAUCUACAAAUAAAAACAAAAACAUAUAAACCAAUAACAUAAAGACAAGAUAUAAACACUAUAACAUAUAACAUAUUAAAACAAGAAGGUAAAAAAAAAAAAAAAAAAACCUUGAAUAGUACCUAAAAUUUGAAACGUAAAAGACAAGAAGUUUUUUAUAUUAUAUAUACAAAUGCAUACCGUAGGAUUUCAUAUAUAUAAAUGAGCAUAAAAAAUAAUAAUAAUAAAGAGAGUUGGUACCUGCAAAAAGCGGUGUCGUAGGAUUUCAUAGAAAAAGUGUAAAAUGGAAAUUUGUUGAAAAGUGGUGACAAAGAAUUUACUUACGAAAUUCAGAAGAAAAAAGGAGAAGGAAAGUUAAAAGGGCAACGGUAAUGAGGCGCCUGUAUAUUAAUGUUGUCAUUUAAUUAGUAUUCAAUUCAUUCAUUCCUACUUUAAUUAAGUUGACCAAUUUUUAAUUUUAAUUGAAGUAAAUUAAGUGGGGCCCAUUGAUUUUAUUGUUCCUUAACCAGUGCCCCCGGGGCACUGGAUAGCAUUACCCAAAAACAAAUGACUAGUGGGUAACUAUUAUUUAAAAAAAGAGAAAAGAUACACAGACAUCCCAUAAUUCCAUCCACCUUCUACCAUUGUUCAUGUGGCAUUAAUUUCUUGUCUCAUCCACCAAAAAAAUUAAAAACAAAAAAUAGGACAAUCACUUUCUCUCACAUAUAUCUCUCUGUUACACCCUUUUUCUCUGGUUUACCUUCCUCUCUCUCACUCUUCAACCCCUUGUCUCUUUUUCUCUCUUCUCCUUCAAUAAUUUCUUUUGGUUGCCUAUGUUGCCGUCGUUCCCACCUCUGUAUGCAUUUUGAAAAUGUUUUUGUUGGAUUUAUUUAAAAAGGUUGUUGUCAUUGUGUUUUAGAGGAGUGUGAGGCAGAGAUAAUAGAUCCCGAGAAGAGAGAGGGUGAGGAUGGCAGCGACGACGGCGACGGUGGCGACGACAGUGGUGGAUCUAAGGGUCGGCAUGAGGACGACAGUUGUGAGAUCUGAGUCUUUGGACGGUGACGACGGUGGUGGUGGUAGGAUUUGAGGUUGAAGACGGCGGAGGACGGUGAUGGAUGUGGCCGCUGGUGGUGGUGAACAUGAAUGGGUGGUUGGAUAAGUGACAAAGGUUGAAAGAAAACUGAAUGCUGAAUGAGAGUCACAAUUUUUUUGAGAGAGUAAAUUUUUUUUUUUGGUUGAGCUGGCUUUUUUUAUAUUUUAUUGUGACAAGUGGGAGGGUGUAAGAGAGGGGUACACCACGUAAGGGUGUUUACCUAUCAGCUCUCUAAAAAAACUAUUAGAGUGUAAACUCACCGUGAAACAUCUUCAACAUCCCAAUAAUAUUAUUAAAAUAAAAUUGAAAAAGAGAGUACAAUUUAGGGAAACUAGACCAAAAUUAUAUAAAAAAAAUAAAAAUAACAGUGGGAUAUAUAGUUACCUCGUUAAAAACCUUAUCUAAAAAUCUCAAUGAGAUAAAAUCAAAUGAAGGAAAAAAGAGUGUAACAACAAACAAAUAGUAACAAAUAAAAUCAUUAUCAAGAAAGAUAAUAAAGGUGACCUAAUCUAUUUCUAACCAAACGGUCCUCACUCCCGAAUACAAGAACCGGUUAUUUUUAUGCAAUAUUACAAGACCAAUGACCCUAUUAACUGAGUCAAUUAUUAAUGAACAUCACAUAAAUUUUAGCUAAUGUGAUAAGUUGUGUGCAUCAAACAAGCACAAUUUUUGGAACCAACAUCAUUUGCAAUGCAUAGAGGCUUAAAUUGUUCAUCUUUUGACCAAAUGGAUCGUUUUUCAAUAAAUUCAUGAACAAAGGUGUCCAACAUUUCAACAGAAACAUGUUGUAACACUACCACAUGUGCAAUAUUCCCACUGCAUGCCAAAUUCCAGCUACGAUUGAAGUCAUCAUCGAGGGGCCUCUCAAAUACAACUAUGUUGCUGAACUCGUUUAACAUAGCACCAAUUCCAGCAUCACGUAGUAGAUUUAGUAAAUAAUGUGCUUUCAUUAUACAUUCAUGCACCUCAUUUUCAAGUCCUAUUAAACCCCUUUUUUUGAGAGCAUACCAAAGGAAGAUGGGAGCAUGCCCACAACGGCUACCUGUGAUUGUGGCAUCCCUUGAAGCAAUGAUGCCAACAUCUCUAGAUAUCGCACUCAUGUAUUUCAAACGAGUUAUCACAACACCGCAAGGAGAUGGGCAUCCCAAAAACUUGUGACCUGAAAUAGUUACACUGCCAAUAGGUUUCUUGAAGCUAACCUUUAGAGCCUGUAACAUCAUCACCAAAACAAUAUUUUAGAUGAAAUCAAGUAAUCAUUCAUUUACGGUAUAUUCUUAAAUUAAACACGAAGCCUUGCUUGAGUUAAGAAUUCUACAUAAUCAUAGUUUUCAAUUAAAUUUGAAUAAGUUUCAUUCAAUUAGUUGUGUUAAUACUUUUUCCUAUAUGAAAAUGUUUUUCGUGAGUAAUGUAAAGGAGGACAUUUUUCACCUUAAAAAUCGAUUUUGUAAGGUUGAAUUAAACUGAACCUAAUGUUCUAAAAACAACAAAUAUUUUGUUAAAAUAGAAGAAUACAUUGGUAUCAUAGAAUUUUGUUGGAUAUAAUACCUAACAUUCAAUACUUUAAUGUCAUAUAAUUUUUUAUUUAUAUUUAAUUAUUUCGAAUAAAAUUUGCUUAUAGGAUACCAAAGAAUUUUCAAAAAUAAAAAUAAAAGUUUAUGAAAAUAAUUUAAACUCACUUGUUUUAUAAAAGGCAACAUAAUUCCAAAUAGAGCUCCAUCACAGUGAAUGUAGAAUCGAUCACGAGUAAAACCACAUUUCUUUAGUGUUUGUAUUACAAGAUCAAGAUCAUCAAUACCUCCUUUCAUAGUUGUCCCUGCAAUAAAAUAAAUAUGUAAGCCCAAGUUUAGUUUUUGGUGGGAUCUAAGCUUAAGUUUAUUAAGUUUAUUAAUUCAAAACUUUAUUGAAAUGUGCAUGCAUAAAUGGUGCAGUGCGAAUAUAUAUAGUUUUCAAAAACAUGGAUAAUACACAAGAGACCUAUGUUUAGAUUGAUGAUGGCUGGUUUGUCCUUGUGGGAAAGUAGACUGGCCUCUAGUUGAACACAAUCAAUUUCACCUGAGAAUAAAGAACCAACCUUCACACAAUGCAUUCUAUACAUUCUUGCUAUUUUGAAUAUUGAAUAAUGUGACUCUUGUGAAGUAUAUAGAAUCCCAUCUGGAAAUUGUUCUCUCCUGUAUAGAAAUGUAUGAAUUAAUUAUGCUUGUGUACUAUACAUGUUGCAUAUAAUAAUUAUUUUAGAUAUAUGAACAAGUUGUACGUAGAAAAACUGACCCUACUAAAAUUCCAUGAAGAUUGCCUUCACUUCCACCAGUUGUGACAUAUCCCCAAUACUCACUAUUGUCUAUGUUCCAAAGAUUUGCAAACCAAUCAAGCACACUAACUUCAAAUGGAGAUGAAUUCAGAGAGAAACUACUUCCAACAAAUGGAUCACCCGCAUUGUUCAAGUGAAAAUGAAAUAAUGGUGCUAAUUUGUCGUAGUUGAAGUCUUGAUUAGUGGGGUAGCCUUCAAUAUCAUUUUUUUGACGUUAGUAAGUGAAGAAUAGUUUAUGCUCAUAAAAAAAAAAAAAAAAAGUAGGUGAAUUGUUUUAGAUAGGUAUCAAAGAAUUUAAACAUCCAAGGAAAACAAUAUACCAUACGGAUCUAGUGAAUAGAAUGAAAAAUUUAAUGAAGAAGAAAAUGAUUUUUUUUUUUUUUUGUUUAGAUAACUUAAUAACUAAAUAUAGAAAAAUGAAGCACCAAAACCCUACCUAAGUUACGUAAGUUGUACUUGUUUAUAGUCUCCGCAUAGCGAGCAAUUAUUGCAUCCAAAUUGGCAUCUUUUUCGCCCAUGCACUCGUUGAUAGGAAGGUCCUUACGUCUAUUCUCUUCAUCAACAUUUUCACGUCUCUCUUCUUCUAUUGACAGCUUGGCAUUGUUAACAUUAACCAUCGGAAACAACUCUGAAUCAGAAUUGAAAGCCAUUGCCAUGGUGCUUUCUCCUAGGUUUUCCAUAAUUAUUAUAUACUUGUAAUUUUGUAGUUAAUUAAUAUAUAUGAAUAUGACCAAUGUAUAUACUGUUUAUAUAUAGCAAAAGAAGGUGAGUUAGUUAAAUAUUUUGUGGAUUGGGUGUAUUCUUCUAUACUUGAAUCAAUGAUGUCCACAAUUCAUUUUGGUGUACAUACGUAGUAUUUUCCUAUCACACACAAACGUGUUGUGUGCAAGUGUGAGUUAUAUGUCCCAUAUCGGAUAGAAAAGUAAAGGUUUGAAAACCUUAUAAGUAAGAGGACCAAUAAACUCAUUGCCUUAAUGUUUGGGUAACAGUGUGACGUCUUUCUCUCUUGUGGGGGUAGUUCUAACCUCGAUGUGACCCUCCUGGCUCCCCUCUGUGCGUCCGGAUCCUCUCCAUUUCCAAUGAAAAUGGGGAUCCACAUUUCCUUACCUUGCGGAACUACAUGUGCCGUAAGUGGAAACCAACGGAUGAGAUCUAUUCUUUCUUUAAAACCAAUUAAAAUUAUUAAAUAAUAAAAGAAUUCAAUUUAUAUUAAACAAAAUAUGUUGCCAAAUUUGAGGGGAAAAUUGUAGACAAGAACAGAUCUGACGGUAACACCAAGGAAAAACCAAGCCAUCUCCACAAAGCAUUCCACACCUCUGUUUCAAUCUGAAAUUGAACAAUUGAAUUUCAUUAUGCUUAAUUACAAUACAGGAACAAAUUCUUUUAUUAUAAAUGAAAUUCUUUUAUUAUUUAAUAAUUUUAAUUGAUUUUAAAGAAAGAAUAGAUCUCAUCCGUUGGUUUCCACUAAUGCCACAUGUAGUUCCGCAAGGCAAGGAAAUGUUGAUCCCCAUUCUCAGAGGAAAUGGAGAGGAUCCGAACUCCCCCUCUGUGAGCUAACAAAACGGAUAUUGGUCAUAAUGUCUUGCAAUAUCUUAUAGUUUGUUUUGUUGGAUGGUGAUUGGGCUGAAAAAGAAAACUACCUAAGACCUACCAAAUAGAAUAAUGAUGUUCCCACAUCUAAGGAUGUUAGGAAACACCGCUAAAAUACCAAAAUAAUUUCAUCGACAGUUAACUGCCGAUGAAUUUUAACCGGAUGUAAUUAACUGCCGAAGAAAAUUGGAGUUAAAUUUGUUAUUUUAUGGUGUUUUUUUAGCCUUCACAAGAGUGUAAACAACAAUUUUCUACCAAAUAUUAGAAAUCAAUGGCAAAUAUAGAAGUGGCAAAACAUGAAGAAAACUUCAAUUUAGUUUCUUCAAAACAAAACUUUAACGUUUUAAAGAUUGGUCCGAAUCAGCAGAUUCAAUUGUGAAUUAGGCAGUUCGUUGAUUGAGUUGAUCUAAACUUUACUUUAAUCUUGUGGAAUAAGGUUGAACCGAUUGAAUUGUGGUUGAUUCAAUUUUCAACCAGAGUGGAUCAUGAUCCGUAUCACUAUUUGAUUUUUAAUGCAUCUUUUAAAGAUUAUUUUAAAUUAUUAAGAAAAUACUAGUACUAGGGAAAAUAUAUUUUAUCGUGUUUUUCUUACAUCGUCGUUUCAAUCUUGCCGGUUAGCUUAAUGGACAGUUACGGAUUAUGGUGGGGAGCCGAAUAUGGUAUCGGUCAAAUAGUGAGCCUGCAUUUGGGCAUCACUCCUCAUCUCAUGUCAGUGUCUUGAAUUUGUAAGGUGAGAAAAUAUCUAAAUUCCGCAACAUGCGAACAUAUCGUAAAAUUCUUUUAAAAAAAUAAAUCUAUACAAAAUCUUUUUUUUAGUAGUAAAAUAACAUUGGUUUUACACGUUUACCUAUAUAAAUUUCAGGAAAGAUAUAGUUUUCUAUUAAAAAGUAGCGAUAUUUUUAAAAAUAUACUAACUUCAGACUUCAAAGUAUAUAUAAGUUUGAGUUUUUCCCUUAAAAAAAGUUUGAGUUUAUACGUAAAGGAUUAUUGAGAAUAAUAAAAUAUAGAAGAAGAUUUGAUAUAAAAUAUAGAGAGAAAUUGGCAUGUAGUGCAAGUGCAACACUGUGAAAAAAAUAAUUUUUUUUAUUAUUUUAAUGGUUAAAUUAUAACUUUUUUUUAACCAAGUUGUAAUUUGACCAUUAAAGUAAUAUAUAUGUCCAAAAAGAAAGAUAAGGGGAAUUAGAUCAACAACCUUUUCAAAAGUUAAUAAAUCUGAAAUUGGGCAUACCUACAUGUUCCUAGUAUACUCAUUUAUGAUAAGUUAGAAAAAUAUGUCCAUAAAGUUAAAUUAAAAAAGGAAAGGGUAAGGUCAAAAGGUCAAAGUUGGCUAAUCUAUUUGCAGAAACAUUCCCUUCUCAAGUAGUAAAAAAUGUCUUGUUACUUGUUAGAAGUAAGCAAUUAAGUCAUUUGUUCCACAAACAUGCACUACUUUUAUAGACUUGAAAGCAAGAAGGACUAGCUGAGAGUCUGAUUUUAGCCGGAGCCUAUGGUCAAAUUACAACUAUCUCAAGUGAGAUUCAAAUUAUGUACAAUAAAAAAUACAAAGUCAAACUAUAAUCAUUGAAUCGACGGGUGCAGUUAUCAUGCAUAAGAAAUUGCAUAAAUUUCAGUCCAUUAUGCCAAAACCAUUUUGCAGUGGAAAUGGUUUUUGUGAGUUGGACUCCAAAACUAUUUUGCAAUGGAAAUGGUUUCUGUGAGUUGGACUCCAAAACCAUUUUGUUGUGGAAAUGGUUUAUGUGAGUUGUACUUCAAAAUCAUUAGAUGUACUUAAUGGUUUUGAAUUUUCUUUUUCAUUAAAAUUUCAAGAAUUGUUGAUGAAUCAACACCGUUGAUUUAUCUUGUUCCGAUCAAUUCGCAACAAUUGAAUAAUUCAAGAAAUGAAUUGAAGAUGUAUGAAUCUCUCGCCGUCGUGUGAACCUCUAAGAAUCCUUCCGGUUGGAGAGUUCUACAUAUCUCACCGGCGAAUUCCGCCGGUUUAACGAAUUCUUCGAAGAAACCGCCUUUACCGGAGAAUUCAAAAUCGAAGGAAUCACCAGGAAAUGGAUGUUUCCGUCCUUCUCCUUGAAUAAUCAACGGCGGUGACGGUUUCUUGAAUAUUCCGACGGAGUCCACAACGCCAAUUUCCUUCAACGCUAAAACAUCUUCUCCGGUGGGAGUAUCAAUGCACAGAGCUUUAGAAUUCGGCAAAAGUGAGCCUUCUCCGAUGAGAUCCUAGAAAAUAGAGGCGUAGUGUUCAACGGAGCGGCGCCAAUUCUUGCCGGAGAAUGGAUCGCCGGAGGUGGAGAGAUGAGAGGGGGCGGUGAGGUUUAGAUUUUCGGAGAAGAAACAGAAAUCGGAGGAGUUGCAUGAUCUGCCACGGACGGUGACGAUGAUGGCGAAUCAAACAGCGAAGAUGAGAUCCAACAUGAUGUUGUUGUCUGAUUCUUUGGAGAAGAGAUAUGCGAUCAAAUCUGAUGGUUGUGAAGUGUUUAUGCAGCGUGCAUAAGGAAAUGACUUAUGCAUGAUAACUUUGCCCUGAGCCAACAUCUCUUAGACAUUAUAUUAUAUUAUACUAUAUUGUUAUUUUGACACGGCACGGCAACCUUGUAGUAAUACAAUGGCCUUGAAGACAUAUUAAAUUAAAUAUGUUUUUUUAAGAAAUUAAAUUAAAUAUUUAUUGAAUAUAUGAGUAUAUAUUAUAUUAUAUAUUGAAUACUCAUCAUUCGGUCUCAAAUAUAUAUAAAAAAAAAAAUCAAAAAAGUUGAUUAGAUAGAGUUUGAAUUUUGAAAAAGGUGCAUCAACUUUUUAUAACCAAAUAUUAUUUAUAUACUAGCGUUUAGACGGAGUCGGUGUCAGUCUGUCCCGUCUUCUUAUUACGUUAAUGCCUGUGAAUUACAAACAUUAGUUUUUAUGAAAUUUUGAUUAAACUUAUCUUGAUUUUGAUUUUUUUUUAUUUUGAUUAAAAUUAUAGGUAUAAAUAAUAUAUAUAUAUAUAUAUAUAUAUAUAUAUAUAUAUAUAUAUAUAUAUAUAUAUUGCACUUUCAUAUUUUAAGUGUAAAUCAGACUCGGUUUGCAUAAAAUAUGAGAGAUAAAUGACAAAAUAAAUCUUAUUUAAAACAAUUAAAAAAGAGCUAUGAAAAUUAUAGGAGUUUUGUUAUAUGGCACGAGAGGUUCCGCACACGAAUUGCACAACAUGUUCAUUUACAUGUGAACUUCUCUCUUAAUGGAUGAAAGUUUAUAACUUUUUUUCAAAAAUAAAAGCCAAACCAACAUAAAAUAAAAUAAAUUAUUGGUAUUAAUUAAGAAUUUGUUUGAAAAAACACCCAGUAAUUUGAAAGAUGACUUAUAUUCAGGUGUAAAAAAAACUUCUUUCCAAAACAUGCUUAGCAUUAAAAACAAAUGGAAUACUUUAUCAUUUAAUUCAACGUAACUAAUCAAUUUCAUAAAAAAAUGUGUAUUUCCUUAAUAAAAAAAAUCACAUAAUAUGAGACAAAAAGAAUGACGUCGUAGUCCCUAUUUUCUUUAAAGAGAUGGAAAUUAAGUUGUUUAAGUGCAGCUUAAACCUUUGAGCAAGCCUUAAAGAACACUUUGUAAUACACAUUGCUUCAAGGGUGAUGCAGUUGCCAUUAAAAUUCUGGAAUAUGAGUAUGUUGUUAGGAUUGACAUUUGCAAGAAUUUUCUUCUUAGAAGAUUGAUGUUGAAGAAAGGGGGCACCCUUCCCACUUUGGAUGACUUGCACAACAAAUGAAACAAUCUUAAAAAGGUGCUUGAAAAACGGUCUCUCGCACCUAUUGGUAAGAAAUUUAUAUUUUCACUUUUUCGUCUAUUGAGGAUAUACGUAGGGUUCUUGUUGUAGGGCCUUGAAACCUUGCACCAAGAAUACUUCAUUUGUUUUCGUACACGCCAGAUACAUGGUUAGAAACACUAAUGUUCAAUUUUAAAUUAGGAUUCAUGGCAUUCCACUUGAAUAUUGGAGGGGCUUAAAAGAAAAUUCCUAUUGGAAGGAGUAUCAGAAUUCUUCUGGUAUUAGAUGAAGCGAGAAGCGAUUAGUAGCGAAGAUGAUGUUUCGAUUUAUCUUUCUUAAUUGAAUUUCAGAAUUUUUUUCAAAAAUUUAGACGAACAUUCACUUUAAAGAAGACCUUUAAAUUUAAAGAACAUUUUCAAAAUAUUUAUAUUUAUAUCUCUUCAAAAAUCAAGCAUAGUUUUGACCAAGACUUUUGAGUCUAAGAACUAUUUUUUACCAUAAGGACAAAAUCAUGUCAUUUGUUUUUUGAUUGUGAUGUUUCUUAUAAGUUAUGUUUGGAUAUUUUAUCUUUGCUAUGUGUUAGCCGUGCUUUGUCUCAAUUUGUAUGUUUGAUUUCCGAUAAGAAAUUUGUGAAUGACUAUCUUCAAUUAAUAUGAAUGACUUGCUCUAGUCAUCUUGUUUUUGGUAAUCAUGACAAUUUUAAAGAUUCUCUUGUUGGUUUGCUGAAUCUUUUAGUUUGGUCUUGUAUUUUUUUGACACAUACUUUGGUUAUGUAUUAAAACCAUUUUUUUUUUUAAAAGGCAAAAAUGUAUUAUAUUAUCACAAAUCAAUAAGUCCUCCUCCACAAGGUGUAAGAUAUGGAACUCACGGAGAAAACGUCAGUUACAUUAAAGUAUCAACAAAGAGAGAGAGAUAAUAGAAAAUUAAAAAGAAAAAUGUUAGAUAUCAAUAAUGAUUUUAUCAAGAAAGAUUCAAGAAUGACAUGGCAGAAUAAUCACCCUUAGAUUCCAGUCUUAUUUAUUAAUCUUUUAUAAAAAAUAAAAAAUAAAUACAUAACACCCAACACCCCAUGAUUUCCGGCCAGACUGAGAUUUUAUUGGCUAACAUUAAUUUUGGGAUAAUUUCUUGAUAAAAUCUAAGAGUUAUUAUUCUGCCAUGUAAUUCUUGAAUCUUUUUUUAUAAAAUCUUUCUUGAUAUACAACAUUGCUCAAUUAAAAAACAACUAACAAACAUAAAAAGGGGUUAAGCCUCUAAAGUUGAUAUUCAAAGUCAAGCUGAACGUAUUUCGACUUCAACCACCAGAAAGAAUGAAGUUUUACUAACCAAAUAAUACAAAAACCCUCGUGUAGUUGUUUGGAAGAUCAACCUAACCCUCUAAAUUCAACAAUAUGCUCCCGAUCCUUUAUUAACCAAUGACGAACCUGAAACCAAAUACCACAGCUGGCCAUAAAACUUACAACGGAAAAAUAAAUGGUCCCUAUCCGCUUGCAUGCCAUAGAGCCCCGUACAAAUUUGAUCAUUCGUUGUCAGAACCCUUCGGCAAACCAUAUUGUCUUUUGUGGGCACCCAGUUGAGUAAUAAACGUCACACAAAAAGAUUGAUUUUUAAUGGAACCGUCUUUAACCACAUAACUGGACUGUUGUCAGGAAACAUACCACCAUCCACCGCCAAGAUGUUGUUAUAGGCGUAGCACACCGUAUAGUGAUGGGAAGGAUGUAAAUUCCAAACCCAUAUGUCCUCCCUAUCAGCCUGCAAAACAACAUAAUUUAAUAGUUUGACACAUUCCCCGACCAACUCCUCCUCCCAUACAAACAACAUCUUACACCACUGUCACGCUACACCAUCCAACCCCCAGCCUAAUGAGUGCAUGUCAGCCACCGUUACCACUUUGAUAAGCGAUAAAUCAUAAAGUCAACUAAAUCUAUCACUCAAGGGAACUCUGCCUAACUAUGGAUCCCGUCAAAAGAGAGUAUCUGAUCCAUUAUCCUCUACACGGUUAAUAUUAUCAUGAAACCAACCACUAUCCAUCAGACCCCGACCCUCUCUAAUCUAGUUAAAAUUCCUCCACCACACAGAACCUCCUCCUCCCCCUAUAACUCAAUCGCCCCCUUUCCUCCCCGUAUCUAACACCCAACACCUGAUACCAUAAACUCUUCCUCUCCUCCAACGCCCUCCAACACCACUUACCAAACAAAGCUAUAUUAAACUCCCUCAACCUCUGCACCCCUCGACCACCAGUUUCUUUACUCAUACAAACAAUAUCUCAAUUAAUCCAAGACAUUUUCUUAUUAAAAUCAAAGUUAAGGCGUUCUCCAAUAUUUUUUGUCAGUGAUGCACUCAUCAACUGUUUAAAUAAUUAUGCGUGACUACUCUUGAAUUUUUUUUUUUGUUGGAUUGAUAGUGUCAUUAUGUUUUGGCGUUUUUAGUUUAUUUACUAUCGUAUCAUUUGAAUCUAUUCUUUUGAAAUUUAUUUUGGUCUACUAUUUAAAAUUUGUUUUGUGCUUUUGUGGAACAUACAAAACAUUCACGAUAUGCCAAUAAAAUGCCCCAUCUAGUCUCAAUAACUAAUAUAUUCGAUCUUUAUAUAUUAAUCAUCGAAUGAAUGUAAAUAAUUAUUUUUUUAGAAAAGAUAUGUAUUAUUAUAUGCAGGAACCGAAAUUUAAAUGUCAGACACUUCGCUCAUUCACCUUAAAAAAUGUGAGUUGUAGCAACUAAAUUACCUAACAAAACCUCCUAUUAAGGAGGAACAUUUACCCUCAAAGCAACAUUAUAAUAUCCUGCCCCUUAAUCUUACAACAUACCCAUCAAAUUGACGAAAUUACCCUUGCUUAUUUUCCACUCUCAACUUUAAAACCAGAGUCAAAGAUCCUCUUUCUCUUUUCCCUUUCUCUCUUUUCUCUGCAAUUUUCAACCUUCUUUCUAUUUCUUCUUCACCAUGCAGCAAUCUUGAUCUAUACCAAAAUAUCGAUAUCAAUGGAUUUACUUGAAGGCGUUGGAGAGAGUUCAUCGCCACCUCGUUCCUUCGGCGGCGGUUACACGAACUACGAUAUCAGAACCGACGUUUAUAACCGUUUGGUUGAAACCGGUCACGAACAAGCCGUAUCGAAUCCGGAGUUUCGUGAACAGCUUGAUUCUCACUUCAAUCGUUUGCCUCCAAGGUUCUCUUCAUCAAUUCUAUCGUCACUGUUCAAUUUCAUUUUCUCACUGUUUUUGUUGUUUUGAAUUUGAAUUGUUUUUGGAUUUUACUAUUUGAAAAUUUGAAUGUCGUUCGCGCAAUUUUAUGUGUUCGAUUUAUUUAGCUAAGAUUUGAGUUGAGUUGAGGAGUAAGAAAUUGAAGUGAUGAAAAUAUGGAUAUUGUUAUUAUUUUCAGUUAUGGACUUGAUGUGAAUGUUGAUAGAGCUGAAGAUGUUUUACUUCAUAGGAGUCUUCUUGAUUUGGCAAGAGAUCCUGAUAAGCGUCCCGUUUACCAUAUUCGUUUAUUGGAGGUAUUGUUGUUACUUUUGUUCCAAAUUUUGAAUCACUUCUAGAAUUAGAAACUUUAUGUUUAGUAGUUCAUCAUGAUAAUUUAAAAAACGAUACACUUUGCGUCACACAAUAAUUGUCGCAUUUGAUAAUUUCACAUAGAUUACGGAAAGGAAAUGAUAAAUAAAAGAAAGAGAACGAUGAUUUUACUGAUUUAUCCUUAUUAACUAUUAGUGUUUUCUCAUCGGUGUAGAAUAUAAAUGCAAAGAUAGUUGUUUGAUUCUUACCAAACAAAUGAGGUUCUUCUGCUUGCAUAUAUUCACCAAAGGAAAUACCUGUGCUAGCCAACUUGCAUCCUAUGUUGUAUCCAAUUCUCGUUUCAAUGGUGGAAUGUAAUUCUAUCUCUCAUUUCCGAGGAAUUUUUUAGAAAUAGGAACCAUCUUCCUAACUUCCGUUUUAAAUGAUUUCUUAAUCAUGAGUUUUGUAUUUGAUUUGUAGUUUUUUACACCGCACUCUUUUUUUUAUACCUUUGGGUUUUCCUUGUAAGGUUUUUAAUGAGGCGAUUGUAGUUUGUUUCUCAUGAUUGUACCCUUGGCUUUUGGCAUAGUCCCCCAAGUUCUAUUAUUUUCUUUUAUUUUAAUAAAUUUAUUAGGGGUGUUACAAAUGAUAGAUGGUGAUCUUGGGUGCCAACAUAGUUGGAUGUCAUUUCUGCCAUGCAAUGCUUUGGCACUAUAACUUUUGCUUAAAAAAACUUGAGGGUGUAAAUUGUAUUAAUUAGAGGGUACAAUUGGAAAAAAAAUUAAUACAUUGGAAACCUAAGUGACAAUCUUUUUGGGACAAUUUUUUCCGCAAAUAUAACAAGUAUUAUGGGACAAAGGGAGUAAUUUUUUUCUCAUAUUAAUGCCUGUACCUAUGAAGCGCUGGCACAAAUAUGGACACUGGAACAACAGUGAUACAUGGACACUGAUAAUACUUUGAGAAAGCAAAAGUGAUUGAACAUAACUUAUAACUAUAUGUAUGUGUGAUGGACACACAUAGAUAUGUACUGACUUUUCUUCUCCUAUAUACCAUUUUGCUGGGCAGAAUAUUGCUACUAGGACAGAUGGUGAGGAUCAAGAAAUUGUUAAUACUCAUACUCGCCCCGAGUCUUCUUCUCAUGCAACAAAUGGGGGAGUCAUAGCAUCUAAUAAGAGGUAUUCAGUGAAAUUUGAAGUAUAAUAAUGCAUAUAUACAUGCGCACAUAUUCACAGUAAGGUUUCACAAAACUGUUGACGUAAAUAUCAGUUUUAUCUUUUCAUAAUCUAUAGUUUAUGUAAUUUCUAUCUUUAGGACAAGAGAUCUGGCAACCGAGUUUGAGACUUACUCGAAGCUUGAGGAUCUAAAUUUGGAUGUUAUGAAGAACUCCAAGGAUAAAAUUGACAGCUUUUCCCAGAGGUACCAAUUGAAUAAAAUUGUGUCGUGAAUUCUUACUUUAUCUUUAAACUUUUGAAAUGAUUAUCUUGUUACAUUCAUCAGAACCCAAUAUGGCUGCAAUUGUUGUUUGUAGAACAGGAAUUUAGCUCUAUAUACUUGUUACAAGUGGAAUUAGAAAGUCCAAACUACUAAGAGUUCAUGCUAGGUGAGAAAAUGAGAGGAAGACCCAAAAAAACUGAGAGAAGUGUAUUCUUAGAAUAUGAAAGAGAACUUUCUAAAAAAUUUAUUUGUUAAAUCUUGAAAUGAUACAGAAGCUGGUCCUCUGUAUUUAUAAAUUUAAGGGUAACAGAAAAUAACCAGUUAACUAACCAUAAUUGUUAGUUAGUUACUUACUGACUCUAUUUGAAAGGAAGCUUCUAUCACAGAAGCCGAACAUCAGCUACUAGAAACAGAAGCUGCGAGAAGCUAAUAGUAGCAGCACCUAAUUAUGUGCUAUGCUUAUGCAAUAGAAGCAACAACGCAAUAUGGAAUAAUAUGCACCUGAACAUUCCCUUUAACUCAUGGUCCUUGUGCCGAUGAAAAGUAAUCAAACACUAAGGCUAUCUCUGAGAAUUAUGAAUCUCCGAGUAGAUAGAGGUUUGGUUUGUAUGUGGACCUGUUGAUGGAAUGCAAUGGACCACUAGACUCUUUUAGAACUCUCUCUCUAAAAAAAAUAUAGCCAGCUCCAUGUAUUUAGCUCUAGAAUGUAAAAUAGGAUUGUAAAAUAGGGCCUAAAAAAACUCAAUAACCAGAGGUUGAUCUUCUAUCAUCUGGGUUAGCAGCCAGUUUGCAUCACAUAUUCAUAAUAGGCUUUUAGAGGAAGUGGCGGUCUUGGCAAAGCUUUGAGCAGAAGACUGUUGUCAUUUGUUGUACCCUUAAGAUAGAUGAGUAUUCUUUUAACUAUUUCUACUGUUCCGUUAAGGGUUAUAGAGAAAUUGACACACUUUUUUUACUGUAUAGGAAAUUUAUGACCUGGUAAAUAUGGAAAUGCCUUUUGCUUGUGGUAUGUGAGCUCUAGGCAAUAAGUCCUGAAUGUACCUUCCUUUUAAAAGGAAUAGAGACAUCCUUUAAGCGAUUCACUUCAAUGCCCAGAAAAUAGUCUUAAGCACCUAAAUGCUUGAGAAAAGUAGAUUUAAUUAUGGAAUAAGCUUGUUUAGACCCAUGAACAGUGAAUGAAGACGAACCACAUUUAUUGGGCUUGGAACCAAUGUUGAAUAAAGCAGGACCCAGACUCUCAAUGCAUGCUCAAGUCCAAGGUAAUCAAAAUUGGGAUUUUACGUAUAAUUUGCAAUGCUGUGAAGGCUGAACCUGAUUCGGUGAGUACUGAAAUGAUUAAAGCUGUUGUGGAAUGUAAUUGGUGUUAAACCUAUGAUAGCACAUGGAUGCAUCAUGGCCAAAUUAAUAGCAUACUUUGCACUGAAUGCUAUCACAGCCACCACAACCACCUCUUUCAAAUCUACCUCGCCUGCCUCAAAAUUACUACUUAUGCCAUUGAUCUGAGUGCUCUGAACAUGUUGUGUAGGACUUUAUUUGAAACUUGAGAAGAAGAAAUUAUAUUAACCCUUAAUUCUAGUGGAUGCGUUGAUGUUGAUAGAAGUUCCAUCAUUCCAUGUAUGUCUAACUUUUAAAGGAAGAAAAUAACUUUAUUUUGGAGGGAGGGGCCAAAUGAGAGAAGGAAGCUGUUCUUGUAUCAACCCAUAUACAGAUUGAUAUGAAGUAGACAAGAGGCCCAACAGAAACAUCAUGUGCAUUAUAGAAAAAUCUAUUCGGUUUGGAAAGUUUGUUUUGCUCUGAUGUGCUUGUGUAUUUUUCAAAUAAUCUUUUCAUUUUGGAGGAUAUACCAGUAUCCCUGUGUUUGUGUUAUUUUUAUAUAACUUAGAGGUUUCAUGGAUUUAUUCAUUACAACUGGUAGAUAUAACCUUAUUUCCGUGUUGGAGAAAUUGGACCGUUUGACCUUGAGUCUUUAACUCUAUGUGAUCUAUCUAUGCUACAAAUUGAAGUAUUACUUGUGUGUGAAAUGUUACCUGCAUGAUUCAAUAUCUUUGCUUGUGGAAAAUAAAAAUGCAGGCAUGAACAUUCAAGUGUCCCGGUUCAUGAAAUAAUAUUUUCCGCUGUUGACAAACCAAAGCUUUUAAGUCAGGUAUGAUGAAAAAGUUAAACUUGCUUUUUAUAAUUAAAAUUUGCAUAUUUGUAAGUUAAUUUCAAACUCCAAAUGUAAAUGAGCUAGAUUUUUCAUCUACACUGCAUUCAAUCCAUGGGUUUAUUUUCCGUUGUUUUAUUGAUUUGUCAUGUAUGUCGAAUUUGUGUAAUGGAAUAGAAGUUUCCCUCAAUAUUUGAAGCUAUUUGAUAACUAGAGAUUUUUUUUAGAAGUUUGGAGUAUCCUGUCAUAUAAAGCAAAGAUAAAAUGAAGCUUAUAGACACUUUUUGAAAGCUUAUGUGGGAUAUUAUACCAAAGUUUUAAUAAAUAGACUUUCUGCAUCAUUGUUUUCUUUAUGCAUCAUUAUUUUCUUGAUAGUGCACGUGAUUUGUUUUCUUGAUAGUGACAAGUGAUUUGUAUUAUUGAAUAUUAUUGUUAAUUUAACACAUCAUUAUUCCUACAUAAUGCAUAAACAUUAGAUAGAAAAGAUCUUGGGGGUGGAUGUUGGGGUUUCCUUUGUGCAAACUUAGCUCUAUUUUGUUACUUUAAUGAAGUAUGAGGUUCUAGUUUGUUAAUGCCCUAAAAUAUAAUUGAUGAAUAGCAUGAUUUCUUUUGACGGAUAUUAUUUCCUAUUGAUGGAUAAUAUGAUUUCUUUGAUGAAUAUUAUUUUCUUUAGCUGUCCGCAUUGCUGUCUGAUAUUGGGCUUAACAUCCGUGAAGCACAUGUAUUUUCCACAACUGAUGGAUACUCCCUUGAUGUUUUUGUGGUGGAUGGAUGGCCACUAGAGGUAUGCUGCUACAUGAAUUUGAUGAUACUUGUUUCCCCUUGAAGACCCUCUGCAAAGUUGUAUCUUUAAAACCAGUCAUUGUUCGUUAAUUUAAAUUUUACAUUGACAUUUGUGUUGUUGCAUGCAUUUGAUAACUCUUCAAGUCAUUAUACAAUUUUGAACUUGGUGGUUAAACCGUUCGACUUUGAUACUGGCAUCUAAGCUUUGUAGAUGGAUUAGGUGCGAACACGAGUUACUCACUAACGUUCAUCUGGAUCAUAAUUACUUAAGGGAAAUACUAACAAGUGCCCUUAGGGCACUUGAUAAUAAGUUUAAAGUGGAAGUUUUAUCUUGGAAGUUGUGUAUUCAACAUAUUGAAACAUUAAAAAGUAACUUUUUCAACAUAAAAUUUAUCAAUUGUUAGCAAGACCCUUACUUAAAAAUAAUUAUUUUAUCAGACUUUUUAAUCUGGGUUAAAAAGUUAAUUGGUUCAAACCAGGGCAUAAGCUUGUAGGCUAUGAGGGAGCACUGUUAUUAUAUUUCUCCUGUGUCGGUGAUCUGUGCUGAGUCCCAUUGUUGCUUACUUUGCAAUCUUGUGCUCAGGAAACUGAUGGUUUGUAUGCUGCUAUGGAAAAAGCUGUAGCAAGGAGUGAGGUGCAUUUUGUCUCCUUGAUCUUGAUUCUGCAAAAUCUUAUAUCUGUUUUGUUUGAAAUGUUGAAUUUUACCUCCGUCAAGAAUGAAUAGAUUAAUGAUUCUUGAUGCUCAUAGGCUUGUAUUUCCUGCAAUAAACUUUCAAAAAAGUAACAACUCUACAAUUUCCUUGGAAAUGGCUUAUGAGUAUAGGAUCCUAGGGGAGGAAAAGUAUUUGGGAUUUUAAAACUGGAUAUAUAGAAAUAGACCACUUACAACAAACUUAACAAAUUCUGGAAAGCUUAUAGCUUGUUUUUGAAAAAUUUAAAAGUAGUAUUGCUGUUUCCCACAGCUCAUGCUCAAUAGGAACCUGUAAAAGCAUUGAAAAAGAUCUUACACUCUUUCCUGCCACCGAAGCUUAUAGGGUGGACACGAUUAUCAAAAGAAGAUGGAGAAACCCUCAAACCAAUGCUCAUACAAGAUGCCAAAAUAUCUAAUACAAAGCGGCCAUGUAACCCCACUGUGUAAAUAAUGGUGUCCGCGGUCAAUCUCCAAAAGUAAAACACAAACAUAGGGAAUAACAGACCUUGUCAAGUGACCUAUGAUUUUGAUACAGAUAACUAAUAUUACUAUUGAUAUCUAUGUCCCAAAAAGACUUAUGUGGAUAAUAUCUCACCGAGUGGCCUCUUCCUCCGGUCGAGUCAUCUUUCGCUUCAAUACCAGGAACUGAGACGGAUUCGGAUGGAGAAGGAUUAAAUAGUUCAUCAUGAGCUGUCCGAAACCCGCGAAAACUCAGUCUUUAGGAAUGUCACACUGUAUUUUACUUAAAAAUCAUUGUACACAAAUCCUCUUCAUAAACUUUAGUUGAUAUAUAUCUUACCCUUUUCUUAAAAUGUAUGCCCGUGAGCUUUAGUAAAUAUUCAGAAAACCCACUCCGUUCAUCAGAAAUCCACUUCAAUUACGGAAAGUGUAAUGCUUAUAUCUGAUGUUAUACUUCAUUUAAAUAACAAUUAAUGCACAGCUUAACUAAAGAAUACGAUUUUCACCAAUGAGUUUACGCAAGCUUGUGGUUUCAUUGCUGCUCUGGUUUAUGCUGGUUUUAAUGAAUAUAGAGAUACAUUUUAAUUUUCUAAUAUCUAUUGAUUAUAGUCUAUGUUUAAUGGUUGAGGAGAAUUUUGUAUUGUUUAGUAAGUAUUUUGCUUUCGCCACAUCUAGGGUGUUAAAAAUUAUGUAAAUAAAUAGUCAUGGUUGAUAGUAUUAGUAUCAUGUAAAUACAGUUAUAGGGUAACAUCAAUAUUUCUAUUUUUGUCAUAAUUUUAUAAUUCAGUAUGCAUAUGAUAUAGCUCUGAUGUGUAAGACACAAUUUCUCUCAUUCUCAACAUGGUAUGAGUCUAUCCUAGAUUUUGUUAUUGAGCCAUGACUUCUGUUAUCCCAGCCGCAUUUUUGUCUACACUUUAGGGCUUUGUUUGCGAGUUUUGAGGGGAAGGGAAGGGAAGGAAGGGAAGGGAGAAAGGAGGGAAAGCCUUCCCCUUGUUUGGGAGUUAAAGAAACCAACAAGGAAAGGAGAUGGAGGGCUUAUGUGAUAAUUUUACUAUUUUACCAUUUUUUCUCUUAAAAUCAAUACAUUGUGUUAUAUUUUGUAAUUUAUCUUGUAAAUUGUAAUUGGAUUUUUGAAUUAUUAUGAGUACAAAAUUGUCAAUUUGUAUGUUUAACCCCCCAAUACCCCCAAUUUGGGGGAACUUUAAAAUUGGACAAAUGAAGCCCUUCAAAACCCCCCAAAACCUUUCCCUAUUUUUUUAAAACUCCCAAACAAGAGUUUACCUCUCCAUAAGCCUUUCCUUCCCUUCCCCUCCCCUCCAAAACCCAACUGUAAACAAAGCCUAGAUGUCCAACCUUCUGCGUAAGAAGGUAUGUUCAGAUCCAUGUUAUGACGUCCACAUUAGUCCAUACUUCAUACCAAGCACGAAGGAUUCAUUCCUCUUUCCCUGCAAGAGGAUGCGUGAACCUUCAAGUCAAGCGCACUAUACCACGGCUUUCUUUGAUAGGGGGUCAAAUGGCAUUUCUUGUUUGGGUCGAGCGAUUCAAAGUCCUAAGCGUGAGGGGCUGUCUGAGAGUCCUACAUCGGCCAGAGAUAUCGUCCAAGGAGUGUUCAUAAGGCUUAGCAGUCGUCACUCAAGAAGGAUUUUUUUGUAGUUACGAGUUUUCUGAGAAACAAAUGUCGUUGCAAAACCAAGUGCAGUCGCAGAAUAUUGAGCCAUGGCAUCAACUAAUUGUCAAUUCAUCUGGCAUAAAUAGUUACUUUAGGAUCUUAGGUUUGGAGAUGCUACACAGAUGACACUCAUCUGUGAAUAAUUAAGUUGUUUUCUUGUUGCCUCAAAUCCAAUAUUUCAUGGCAGGACUAAACAUACUGUGAUAGAUUGUCAAUUUGUCAUUUUAUUAGGGAGAAGAAUUAAUCUGGAGAUAUCACUAGCUUUGUUGGUUCAAAUGAUCAAUUGGCAGAUGUAAUGGAUUCUCUUCAUCAUUUUCUCUUUUCUCAACACUGGAAAAUCACUCUAUUGAAAAAUUAGGACAAUCACACAUUAGCCGAAUUUUAAAGUGAUAUUUUAAAUUUUAUCUAAUAUUUGGGAUUCAGUAAUACUCUUGCUAAGCAUGUAAUAUUGUAAUCAAUACUCUUCCUUUCUUUAGGGGUCAUGGUCUCAUUCUUCAAAUUCUCAUUCAGCUGUGGAGAAAGCCUUAGCAGCAGAAGGAAAAUCUGGAGACUGGGAAAUAGACAGGAGGUCAUUAAAGAUAGGAGAAAAAAUAGCAUCUGGAUCCUGUGGAGAUUUGUAUGUUGGAUUGUUUUGCCAUUAUUUUUUCUAUAUUUUAAUUUUUUUUUCUUUCUAUUCUGCUCUAUAUCAUCAUACUUAUAUUCUUGUGCAUCUAAUUCGCUUUGUAUUUCGGACAGGCAUCAUGGAGUUUAUCUUGGUGAAGAUGUUGCUGUUAAGGUUCUGAAAUCUGAUCAACUGAAUGAUGCCUUAGAGGAUGAGUUUACUCAAGAAAUAGCAAUUUUGAGGUCAGUAUUUUGCUGCUCUUGUUUAAGAAUUAAGACAAUCCUGCAUAUUGCAUAUUUUGUUUUUCUUAUAAAUUCUUUCUUCCGAAAAAUUAUUAAAUAUUUUUAUUCUUGUUUGUUGUACCUAUAAUUUUUUAUACUUUUCCUUACCAAAAAAAAUAUAUAUAUUUUUUUAUACUUUUAAGUAUGUUCUCUUUUUCUUCAAGGGUAAUCCUAAAUUCUAAAUAUUCUAGCAUAAUAUCAAGAUAUUAUAAGAUAUUUUCUUAUAUUCUAACAACUACAUAUUUAAAAAAGGAAAGAGAGAAAUGAAAUAUCAACUCAAGUACCAAGUCUUUAGAAGUGGUUUGGCAUGCUACAUAACUAUCGGUCUUAAUUUUUUCAAGGAAGGAAAAACAGGCCUUGCUCUUUUUCUGGUUCACUAGUGACCUGUACAUUUUGUCAAGAAAGUACCAAGUCUUGAGAAGUGGUUUGGCAUGCUACAAAACUAUCAGUCUUAAUUUUUUCAAGGAAAAAAUAGGCCUUGCUCUUUUUCUGGUUCACAAGUGACUUUUACAUUUUGUUAAGUGUGUAGAUCAUGCCAAUAAACUCUGCUUAGUUAGCUGCUUCCUUACAACUGUUCACUUGGUUAAUCCUUCAAGGAUUGGAUGUCAGUCUAUAUGCUACUAACUCCAUCUCACUAUAAAUGUCUUAUUUGCAAUAUUUCUCUAUCUCAUUAAUUGUCACUUUAGAAUAACGAUACAACAUUUAUUAACAUUUUCCUAAGAAGUGCGCACUACCUUAAAAAGGUGCAUAAUAUGAAACAGAGGAAGUACUUAGUUUAAAUGCUUUUGUUUACAUUAAUUAUAGCCUUGCAAGGAUUCUCACUUUUUCCUUUACCUUUCUCUAACCUGGAAAUAUGUUGACAAUUUGACUUUUGUAUUUCUGAACGCAGACAGGUAGAACAUAAAAAUGUUGUCCGUUUCAUUGGUGCAUGCACAAAGUGUCCACAUUUGUGCAUAGUAACAGGUAUUAGAUUUAUCCAUUUGGUUAUGCUAAUAUAUAGAUGUACAUUAUCCAAUUUAAUGUGUAAUUAGUAAGUUUUACCCUUUAUUGAGAGAUGUCUUGCAUAACUAAACACUAUUAUGACACCCUCCAAGAGGUUCGAAGUUUGAAAUUGAACCCUCUUAUACACGAAAUAGAUUUUAAAAAAAAGAACUUAUGUCCAUACCAUUCUUUGUCUUUUUCAAUAGUAUAAUAAUAAUUGCCAGUAAUUGAUGAAAAACUUUUGUUGGUAGGGCCGCUUAGGUUACUCUACAACAAUAGUUGUAAGGAUACUCUAGUUGGAAACCUGAAAAAAUGGUAUCAUUGGGAGACAAUAAAUUGAUAUGGUUGAGUCAGAAACUUUGAAAUUAAAAUGAACACGGGAAUUGCCAUGGGAGAAGUUCUAUGAAACUUAUUUGAAUUUAAACACCAAUGUAAAAAUUUGAUGAAAUAUCGUAUAAGAUGAGUAAUCAAUCUAUCUAUUCCUCAUUUUAUUCACAAAUGAGAGUCCCUUGAUUAAUUGAAAUAUGAAAUAAAAAUAAAAGCGUAAAAGCAUUAUUUGUAUUCAAACUAUAUUUCAAAACUUUGUAUAUUUUUGCAGAGUAUAUGACUGGGGGAAGUCUGUAUGAUUACUUGCACAAAAAUCAUAAUGUCUUGGAGCUAUCUCAAUUACUCAAGUUUGCAAUUGAUGUCUGCAAAGGAAUGGAGUAUUUGCAUGGAAACAACAUAAUUCACAGGGAUCUGAAGACAGCCAAUUUGCUGAUGGAUGCUCACAACGUAUGAAUUUACUGAAAGUUUGAACUGCUGCUGCUGAUAAAAAAAAUUUUAUUUUUUAUUUUUUUAAGUUUUCUUAUCAUGACUGACGUUUAUUUUUUUUUUUGAGUAGGUUGUUAAAGUGGCAGAUUUUGGAGUUGCCCGGUUCCUAAUUCAGGGGGGAGUGAUGACUGCAGAAACUGGAACCUAUAGAUGGAUGGCUCCAGAGGUUUGCUAAAAAAUUGUUAUGCUUUUUCAUGUUUUAAUAUCAUGUGGAAGUAUUGUGUAAUGUAAAGCCAAUGGUUCUGGUCCAUUACUAGCAACAACUAAACGUUUCUUCUGACGACUAAUUGAGUUUGGGAUCUAGAAUUUUAUUUUACAUUUUCUUGUUGCACACUUCAACAUAAACUGUUAAAGUAUAUGUAGUAUCUUGUGAUAUCAUAGAUAAUUAUGUCAGAGUAUUUGUUUUAAUUAAGGUUUUACAUUGAUUUUACAUGUGAUAUAUUUGGUUUAUUAUGGUUUUACAUUGGGUAUAUUACUGUCAUUGCCUUUUCUCUCAAGGUCAUAAACCACCAGCCUUAUGAUCAAAAGGCAGAUGUCUUCAGUUUUGCAAUAGUCCUAUGGGAACUAGUGACAGCAAAGGUAUAGCCGAAAUUAGACUUGUAGUUCUUUAUUCUCUUAUUUAUCUUCCUUUCCAAUUCUUUGAACCGAUAUUCUUUAUAUAUGUAUAUAUUGUGCAAGAUUCUUGUAAUGAUUUUAUUUUAUUUUCUCCUUUUGGUACUUCAGAUACCAUACGAUACCAUGACUCCACUACAAGCUGCUUUGGGUGUGAGACAGGUUUGUUCUUUAUUUAUUAGUGAGUUUUAUGUUUGAUGUGUAAAAUUGAGAGCUGGCACAAAUUGUUGAGGGGAUACAUUUAAUUAUAGUUAAUGCACAGUAUAAACUCCAAUUAAAGAUGAAUUAAUUUUUUUUCAAGUUUCACAUAAUUGUACCCACUAUAGAUAAAUUCACUUGUAUACAAAAUAAUAACAAACAUGUGUAACAGAUUAUGAAAAAUUAAUGUCAAAUAUAAGAGCAUAAAAAUUAACAUAAAAUAUACAUGUGAUGACUUAUUAUGCCUAAGGAAUUAAAAUUAGUCUGUAACCCUAUAAUUCGGCUUUCUGAAGUGAGCAAUUCAAUUUAAAGAGUAUAAAGUAGGAAGCUCGAUUGUUUGUGAAAAAAUCAACAAUGGUUGAUGUUACGUGCACAUCCAUAAUAAAUCAUGAAUUUGUUAAAAUACUAGCUAUUAAUUUUUUUCUCUUUAAUGGUUGAGAUGUUUUACGUUUUAAAGUGAGAGCUCAAUAUUUUAGGAGCCAUAGUGAUGAAACCUUGAUAGAGAGAGCCUGAUAUCUUAAUUGGUGAGAUGUAUUACUUUAAUCUCUAAUGGUUGAGAUGUCUUACUACUUUACCUCUAAACCUGAGGGUAUAUUGUUUUUUAUUAGUAUUUUUUUUUCAUGAAAAAAAUUUAGGGUGAGGGGAUGGGUGCCCCCCAGUCCAAGGGAAGACCUUAAGGCUAAAAAAACACUCACAAAGAGAUUUACGUUAUCUCCCUGCAAGGGGGCUAGUGGGGCUCGAACAUGGAACCCUUGGAUACAAGAUUUGUUUUUAUUAUAUAAUAUAUCAGUGUCCCAAAAAAAAGCAAUUGGUGAAGAAUUUUGCUACAAACUUAGAUCAAGAAUCAUGUAGGUAGCCGAUUAAUGAUUAUCCAUCAGAUGAGAUGAGAGACAUCGGAUGAGAAUAGGAACCACUAAACUUGCAUGACAGUGAGUAAUCUAGCCCAUCAAAUGCCAUUCACAACAAAUUUCACUCAGUGUCCAUCAAUUGGUCAAGUUCAAUAGUUGAUAAACUUUUUCACAAGUGGUAUAUUUAAUAAUUUAUGAAUUCAAGAGUAUAUUAUGAAUAAUUGAUUAAUGUUAUUCCUAUGUUAUAAAUAAUUGAUGAUUAAUGUUAAUCCACAGAAAUAUAUAUUAUAUAAUGAUACAACAUUGUAUCGAUGUUACCGUGACUGUGUAUAAGUUGCAGUGUUCAACCAGUAGUUUGCACUUUUGUGUCUCUGACCCGGUUGUGAUUUUGUACACCCAUUCAGGGGCUGCGACCAGAACUUCCAAAGAACGGGCACCCUAAACUAUUAGAUUUGAUGCAAAGAUGUUGGGAAGCAAUUCCUAGCAGUCGUCCAUCCUUCAAUGAGAUAAGAGUUGAACUUGAAAAUCUUUUGCUAGAAGUGGAGGUAAACUAUAGUAAAUGUUAUAUUUUAGAAAGAAAAAAAAAAGAGGUUCCAUUUCUUGUUAUUUAAUUUAAUUUCGCUGGUUUCUAUCAAAAAACAAACUUCCCUAGUCUGAUCUUUGUUUUUAACGUGCAAAUUGCAGAAUUAUUCAGAAGUUAAUGGGGCUUAACCUUUCAAGGUCAAACUAUUACAUUCCAGUUAUUUUCAGACGGUUGGGGAGGUCUUUCGCUAUUCAAAUAGCUGUAGAGUUUCUCAUGCUCCCUUUUGCACCGAGGGAAAAAGGACUUCACAAAACUGACCAAUACAGAGUGAGAAAAUGUAAAGAGGCAUACUAAUGUUAUAGUUGACAUAUAACUUAAAUAUAUAUCCCAUGAAAAAUCACGUCCAACUUAACUGUGUAAAGAUAUUUUGAAAAGUGGAAUUUAUUCCAUGCUGUUAUUGAUAUGUUCUUUCAAAUGACGUGAAGUCAAUGAAGUGUAUUUUGUGAGUAAUUUUUCUGUUGAUCAACUAAUGUUUCGUAUUGUAUAUAUUGCACGAGGCGAUGAGCCCGGCUAUCCAAGCUAGUUUAGUGCAAAGUGUUGCUGGUACCAAUGUUUUCCCUAUUAUCAACUCAGUGUUAUUUAUUGUUUGGUUUUACAUUCAGUCUUAAUAUGAAUUUUAAUCGAUAGUGUAAAUAAACAAUAAAUAACCAUUGCAUAGGUAGUAAAAUUCUUUUGAACAAAAGAUGCAACGAUGAAAAGGCUCUCUUGAUGUGCCAAUAAUAGCAUUCUUUCUUCGGCUAUCAUCAAGUGAUAUGCCUCAUAUUGAUGAAUUUAUAUUUAAUAUUUUAAUGGUCUUUGUUUUCAAACGCAUAACUGAUUCAUUGUAUGCAGACCUGGAUUCAAUUAGAUUCCCUAAUCUAGAACUAGGACCUUUACCAGACUUGAUGUCCAUUUACAUUUCAGUAAAUAAGAGAAGCCAUUGAUAUUUUUUUGGCUUGGUAAAUUAUGCAUACAAUGUAUAACAAAUGUACAAGUAUCACUCAAAAUUAAAAUCGAUAUUGUGUUAUUUAUCUUGUUUUUUUUUAAUGGGGGUUAGCAUAUAAUAAAAAAUGUUCAAAACUAGUGUUGUUUUAUUUUUUCAAUAACUAUUUUUUCUCUUCCAUUAAAUUAUUACUAUACAUACUCAUUAUAUUUCAUUUUACAUUUAAGAAAAUGUUGUUUAUCCAGACAAGCACCCUCGUGAAACAUAGUGAAUGAAUGCUAUUGGUUAUUACAAUCACCUCCAUCCCCCGAUUUUCGCUACAACCUGCUUUCAAUUUUGACCAACCUUUAAAAACGGGACACGUGUAUGUCGGGACACUUCGGGAUGAAAGUGCUUGCUACAUAUAGCAGCGCUCAGGGUAACACUUGGGUGACAUUGGCCAAUCACAAAUGCCACAAUGCUUGUGAAAGAGAGAGAAACACAAGCAUUGCGGCAUUGUGAUUGGCCAAUGUCACCAAUGUCACCCAACUCUAUGUCACCCAAAUAUUUUCCUAAUAGGUAAUUGGUCUUGAUAGAGUACUUUGAAUGCAUGUAGAGGUACAUUUAUAAAAAUAAAAAUGACUAACAUCCAAUAGUUAAUGAGGUAAAUGGAAUGAUCUAGGUGUACACGUAAUUAGUCUAGAUAGACUAUUUUGAUAAUCCAUAUAGGAUAUAGUGUUUGCUAUAUCAAAUGUUUGUGCAUAAGACCAACUUAAUACUACGCAGAGAUAGCUGAUUGCAUGCAUAUAUACAAUAGGGAUUGAAUAGAAUUAGGAUGUUGGACCGAUCGAGUGAAUAUAUGAUCUUAUUUUGUUAAAAUUAAGCGUACCUUAUUGUUAUAAAACUGGUUUAUAAUGUAAUGUCUCCUCUUUAAAAACUCUUAUCAAGAGUUAUAACUAUCAAAAGUUGGAGUUGAAUUUUUUCUAGUAUUUUACUAUAUGGUUCAAAUCCAGAGAUAUAAGUAUGUGGAGCCUAUAUAAAGAGCAUAGGUUAUCAUAAUUCAUGCAUCUCCCAUCUUCCUACUCUUUUACUUCCUCGGUUAUAAAAUGAGGGUCAAUUUAGCAAUACAAAUUUAUUUUAAAAUAGAUGUCACUUACACUUUUUAUGUUGAAUUAUUAUUUUACUUUUAUUGCAGCUUUUUUUUUUUGUCAAACUUCUAAUUAAAAUGUACAGUACUUCUAAAGUAUUAUACAAAUAGUAAAUAGAGUUAAUUUAGUAAAAUUGUGAUGUCUAUGACAGCAUAAUUACAUUUUUUUAUUUGUGUGUAGAAAUCUUAAAUGACAUUUAUUAGAGUUCUACUCCCUUCGUCUCAUAAUAUUAGUCGUUUAAAGUUUUUGCACGAUUAUUAUAGAAAUGAUUAAUUAUAUUGAUUUCAAUGAUAAAAUUAGUAGUAUUUACUAAAACACAUUUAUUAAUUGUAGUUAGUGAAGCAGUUAAGUUGGAUGAAAUUCAAUAAAUAAAGGUAUAAUAGUGGAAACAAAUAAUAAAUAUUGCAUUGUAAAGUGACAAUUACUUUGAAGAGAAAAAACAAAAUGUUAAAGAGACAAUAAUUGUGAGACGAAUAAUUGUCUUCUGCAAGUACCUUUCCUCCAAAUAGGUCUACCACCAUGACGGUGGUCAUGCGUCAUUACAGAAAAUCAACCACCAUAGAGGCAUCAACCUCCCGGAGGUUGAAUUUGCUUUAAACAAGAACAUAUAUAGAUACCGAAUUCACGACCAAAUUUGUUUUUACUUGACGAGAUGAAUACUUGCUUGCUUUCGGUCCAGAUACAUAUUGUCCAGAAUCAUUUCAAUCAUUUGAUUUUAUUUGUUAUGUGAUUUCAUUUUUUUCAAAAAAAUAUUGUUGACUCCUACAAAUAUGUAUUGUGCUUAAAGAUCAAUAGUUCAACAAAAAUAAAAAAAAGUAAACUUUCUUCAAAACAAAAAAUAAAGUUAACUUUAAAAGUAAAACAACAAGUCUUGAACCGAAAGUUUGAAUGUUGCUAAUGCCUUUAACAAGAGAUGGAUAUAUAUAUUUGUAAACACUUUUUGAACUCGAAAUCUGUCAUAAAUUAGGGCAUCGUUCCCCCGCUAUGAAUGUACUAAAAAACGAAGUUACUUGUUUUAACAUUUAACUGAUAUUGAAGGCAUUUAUAAUCAUUUAUAAUCACGUAAAGCUAUUAAAAAUAUACUGAAAAUUUCAGCAGAUAUCUAGCUUGAAUAAUUAAACAAAGAAAAACUAUAGUACCCUACAAAGAUUAGCUUAUAUUUGAUUGAAGAGGGCAUAAAUAAAUUUUCUUAUGCAGAUUAUUAUGUUACAGGUAAAACGUUUUUACUACUGAUUAACAUUGAUCAAUCCUCGUUAGAGAACUUAUUGACAUGGGUGGGUUCUUCCAUCAUUAAAUUAUUUUUAUACGCAAAAGUUAAAGAUCAAAUCACAAACCACUUGCUUAAAGGUGUGUUUGUGAGUUAGAUUUUAGACAUAAACGUUUGGAGGGCUAUAAAUAAGUCUAUAUUUUAAAAAAUAUAUUGAUUUUUAAAAAAAAUAAAUUCAAGAACAACUUGAUACAUAAGCAUAUAAUAAGUUUAGCCCCCUAAAAACCAACCGGCAAACACAUACAAAACUCAAAUCUUUUAUCGGUUGGACCAAUCCAUUUUUAGUUUCUUAUACAAUUCUUUUUUUUUACUCAUUGAUGAAAUACUAAUGGUUACACUUGCAUCGAAUUUUAUUAAUUGAAAUAUUAUCCAACCCUUAUAUUUGUACUUCUUUAAUUCUCCUGCAUCCAUUCAACAUUUCAUUGUUUUUUCUAUCUAUCUUAUCUUAUCAUAUUAUUUAUCUAUCAUAUUUAUCGCAUCACUUUCUCUAUUUCUAUCUCUCUCUUGAUGUAUAACGGAUAAUAGAUGUAGAAAAUAUUUUUCUAAUAUUUUUCUAAAUUGUUUAGAAGUCGUUAAUCGAAACAAGUAUCUUUCAUGAUCUUGGUUCAUCUAUAGGAAUAAAAAUUUUCUAUUAUCAUAUUUUGGUGGUUAAGUCCAUUCACCUGUAUGUGUUUGAUUUUUGCCCUCUUGUAUUGGUGGCAGAGUCUAGUUCUUUCAUGUUAGAGUGUUACUUUUCCCACCCUAUGACUUUCCUCGCGCGCCCUAUUUUUUUUCUAAAAAUAACCUCGGAGCAUUCCGGAAUCAACAGAACACAGAACUGAAACAGAUUAGCAUGUCAUUGUGGGUUUUAUCAUUGUUUUUCAAUAAAUCAUUAUACAUAUGUAUAAAAGGCAAUUAACUUAAAUAUUAUAUCAAAAAAUGAUUAUAUAUAUAUAUAUAGACAUACAUACAUGUAUAAAAGGCAAUUAACUUAAAUAUUAUAUCAAAAAAUGAUUAUAUAUAUAUAUAUAUAUAUAUAUAUAUAUAUAUAUAUAUAUAUAUAUAUAUAUAUAUAUAUAUAUCAUUAUACCAAAAAAGAGUUGAAUUUAUAUCAUUACACGUUUAACCUAAUGAUAUACAUUUCAACUAAACCAAUGAUAUAUAUCUCAUCUAUGGCGCCGAAAGAUCAAUGGAGCUAUCAUCAAUCUCAGCCUUCACUCCAGGACCAGGACCAACCCUCUCAUCGGGAUCAAGAUUUUCAAUAAUGUACAAUUCUUCAUCAUCUUCUACAACCGCUUGACCCGCCGCCCGACUUAGCUCAUUAUAAUCUACCAUUCGGGUGGCAUAUCUAUUAGGCCAGCUGUCUGCAUCCUCUCGAUGGUGUCGUCUCCAUAGAUUGCAAGUGGGAGGAAUCGGACAACCAUCCUUCAAAUCCAAUGCCAUAAAAUGGUUGUCAUUCACAUAUGCCAAACACAUCAACGGAGAGAUACUUGGCGGCGGCGGUGGACCACAUAGAGGGAAAUAGGUUGCCGAUGGCCCUAACCCAGUGGACAAGACAACAAUCGGUUGGUUGAAUUUUUGUGCGAUGAGGAAACCCAUAUCCGGCAUGGUCAUCCAUUUAUCACGUGGUGCAUUCCCAAUACCGGCGUAGGAUAGAGCGCCUAAGACCUCUUUAUACCGCCUAUCAUUAUCAAUCAUCGUCCGAUAGCGUGCAUUUUCUACACCGAUAAGCUCUUUGUAAAGGUUGUACCAGACUAAUGUGUGAUCCUCAACAGUCAAGUUAUGUAGGACCGCAACUGCUCGAAACCCACAAUGGCCAUCACCGGGUACAUCUGUAACCUUUUCAAUAAAUUUAUGCAUCCAAAUUAGGAUUUGGUCUUUGUGUGGUAUAUUAACUUUAACCGGUGUUGGCUUGUUCGGGUUUUUUGGAGUUGGCUUAGGAGGAGUAGGUGACAUGUUGCUUUUCCAUGCACUCUUCCUAUUCGUCCCUGUUGAUCUUGUCUGUGAACCUUGUGUCCCUUGCUCCAUGGCAAAGGGGACCACCUUGUCGAUCGAAUGCUUUGCUUAUCUUUCUUAGGAGCUCCUUUGGUGGUGACCUUAUUUGGCGAUGGACGCAUAGAGGUGGUCUCUAGUAAAACAAAUUGCCGGAAUCGUUCCUUCAAAUGCAACUUCAUGUUGUAAUCGGCGUCCUUGAACCGAGCCUGCAAUAUUGUAAGAAAACUGUCAUUCUGGUAUGUGCAUUGAUACAUUUUGGAUUUUAAAAUCCGGAACUCACUUACCUAAUUCAGAAUAUUAAAUCCAGAACUUCCCGAUACACCCUUUGCAUGGGCCUUAAAUGCGCUUGCAUGGGGCGUAAAUGCUACAUUUCGGAUUUUAUAAUCCGUAAGUCAAUAACAUUGUCUGGAGUAUAAAAUCCGGAUUGCACCAGUACAGGAAAUUAAAACAGAAAAUCCUGGGCAGAACCUAAAGUAACACAGUUUUUUUAAAAAAUUACCUGAAGAAUAUCCCAUUCUGGCAAUAGAGAGAUGUCUUCUUUUUUUGGAAGCUUCGGGUCAACCUCGUGCUCGAACCUCAACCUCUUCUAGUGGGUGUGAAUUUCAUCCAAACGGAGGGCGGUUCCGUUUUUUAUCUUCAAACCAAUCAUACAUGCACACAGUAAUCCGUAAGUGAUCAAACUCAAACAACCACAUUUUGAUUUAUCCGUACCAAUUUCAAGUGCUUUAUUGUACUCCACUACGAGAUGAUGUAAAGCUUCCCUUGAAAUUCUCCGGAUCAAAUGAGACCACAACAAUUUUCCUUUGAACCUAUGUUCAAGCAUUAUUAUGCUCGUCUGAAAUGAAGCAUGUAUUGUGGUAUGUUGCAACUCUAGCAUGUUAUUAACGGAUUGCCAGUUUGUACUCAAAUUACCCAUACUACUACUCAGGUACUUUUUCAACCGAGCGAGUGCAGAUUCAACUUUGUUUGUUGUAGUAUUCCCCAUAUGAAGGUUUUUGUCAACCCAAAACCUCACAAACUUCUCCUUAACCAGAUCCAAAAUUGUCUUUUCAACAUAUUCCAAAAAUUAGGUAAAUUUUGCGUAUAGAACUUUGAAUCGGGUCCAAUUAUCAAUAUAUGCUUCCUCCGUGUCGGAGUCCACAAUAUCCGUCCAUGCAGCCAUCACAGUCUUCACCACCGAAGCAGGCUUAAUCGCUUGCCCAUUCUUGCCUUUGAGAUCCGUCACUUUGCAAUCCAAUUUACACUUUGCUCUCACAUUUUGUUCAAUGUGAUAUAGAGCACAACAUAUUUGUAGCUUUAGGGAAAACAUUUUCCACAUCAUUGAUUAAAGCAUUGUCCCGGUCAGUGACAACUACUUUGGGAUAGAGAUCUUUGGAGUGCAACAUCUCACGCCACCUCUCAAGCGCCUAAUAAACAUUGUCUUGCCUCUCAGACAUCAUAUAGGCAAAAUCAAUAGAGAAUGUUUUCAUGGUAGAGUUGUUACCAACAAAAUCAAGCAAUGGAAGACGAUACUUGUUUGUCUUUUAUGUUGAAUCCAAGACAAGCACCAUGGAGAACUUGUUAAACAACUUGAUAGAAUCUGGAUGUGCCCAAAAAACAUCACUGACAACCUCAGAAUCAAGAUACUUCCUACAAUGAUAAACGUAACCAUUAUCAACCAAAGACUUCAAGAGAUGUUGCAUGCCAUUCCUUGUAUCCCUAAUGGACCGCCUAUACCUAUAAGAAGCAUUAUAAACGUGUUUGAUAGUAGUUGAAGUGGUACGGUUCAUCUUCUUUAAGUUGGUAAACAUUUGCCUCGGAGGAACGUUUGAAUCCACCAUCUCUUCAAGGUGAACACGUUCAUUUGGGUUUAGAUGACCGACGGUUUUAUGACCUUUCAGCACAUCUGUCAUGUCAUGGUUGUGUUUGCCAUCACCAACUUUGAGGCUCCAUUCACCACCAGCCAACAAGUAACCUCUCAGCCGAAACGGACACUCGCGUUUAACCGAACCAACUAUCUGGCGCCGACUCUUUCUCUUGUACUCGGUGUAUGAACCUCCCCUUUCACAUAUCAAAGUAACAAAUGCGCUUCUUCCAUUGCCACUGUUAUCGGAUUUACCAAUAACAAUGGAAAAACCAAGCUUCCUAGCUUUCUCUCCAACCCACUUCAACAAAUCAUUCCGUGUUGCAAACUUGUGUUUAGUGGUAAAAUGUUCUCGUUGGUUGAUACAAACAGCAACAAUUGGAGGUGGUACAACAGGAGGAAUAGGAGGAGGAGCAUCCUCUGCUUUCGAACCACCUAGAGAAAUUUCAAGUUUUUGUGGUGGUGGUGGGGGAUUCUCAGAUAUGGCAUUACCGUAAUCAUGCACAUCUUCAAGUAAAAUAAGUGGCAACACAUUAGGAGGUUGAAUCUCAUGUGGAUCAACAUUUGGGGCAUCAACCGGAACAACCAUAUCUGAAAACAAUGCAGGCAUAGUCAGAAAAUGAACACAGUUUUUGUACUGGUGCAGUCCUAAUUUCUAACUCCGGAAUGCAUGAAUCUAGUCCAGAUUGCAUAGUCCGGAAAGGUACAGUACAGAUCAUAUGACGUGAUCAAAAGGAAAUCGCCUAAAAAACGAAUGGGGAAAGGUUUAUAUACACAUUACCUUUGCAUUCAACCGAAAAUGAUGAUGUUAACCCCCCUUGAUGGCCAGAUUGCUGCUCCAAACCAUAUUUUCGCCCUAAAUGGUGUGUUUUUGGAGGUGUUGGGAGUGUUUGUGAUAAAGGUGGUCUGCUUCAGCUAGGUUCUAGAGAACUAUAUAUAACCUAGCUGUCCGGAUUUUAUUUUCCGGAAAAAAAAAAACGACUACUUUUCCCGCUCAAUUUAAAUGUGCGGAAUUUCUAUUCCGGAAAGUAACCAUUGUGUCCGGAUUAUGUUUUCCGAAUAGCCUUUCACCCUCACCAAGCCCAAGUAUCACAUGAAUCAGGGUAAUUUGCUAGCCAUUUUGGAUUAUAGGAUCCGAUUUUUGUCCGGAUUAUACAAUCCGGACAAAGGGUAUUUUGGUCAAAAUUACAGGACGCGCGAGAAGGCUGUAGGGUGGGAAAAGAAACACUCUUCAUGUUAUUUUACAUAUGAGGCUGGUUGUUGCACCAAGUGGACUUGUAGUUAAAAUAGGUGCCCGUUUGAUAUCAAAGAUGAAUCAUGAUGCUGCAACUGUAAGAGUAAAAUUUUGGUCGUUUUGUGUUGUAGGGAUUGGACAUGUUACUAUCUAGUUUGUAAUGUGGAGACAAUGUGUAUAAUACUUACUCUCUCCUUCUUUUACUUUUUUACGUUUCUCUCUUUCUAGUGGUCUAAUAGCAAGGACUAUCACAAUAUUGAACACGUGCAUAGAGAGUGCCUCUCACAUUUAUUGAUCAACUAGGACAAUGUCAAAUGGUUUGAUGAUUUGUAUUCAAUGUCGUGUUAGGUUUCCUUAUUCAUGGCCACCAAAAAAGGGUUUAGGACUUGAGAGGGUGUCGUAGCAAUUUUUGGUGGAGAAAUUAUAUUUGUACAUCUAUUUUGGUACAAUUUUUGUACAACUUUCUCACAUAUGCUCACAUUAUAUUUUUAUUCUCUCUCUUUCUUUAUCUCUCUCUAUUGUUUUUGACCAAUAAAAAGAGAGAACAAAACAAAGUUGUCUCAAAGGUUGUACCAAAAUGAUUGUUAAAAUAUUACUACUCAUAUAUAAGUGGACGAGAAAGUAGUUUAUCAUAUCCCUCCCAAAAUUUACAUUCGGUUUUUGUGAGGCACUUUUUUAUAUAAAAAAAAUAAAAUAAAAAAUAAAAAAAUAAAAAAUAAAGUAUAGGUUAAGUACCAUGAUGGAGCUUAAUAUAAAUUGUGUAUAUUUUUCAAACUUUUGUAUUUACCAUGUCUUGUAUUAAGUAACGGCUUAAAAGAGCAUCGCAUGAUUUACGACCCGUAAACAUAUGUAUCUUUUAGUAAUACACAUUUUACAUCCAUUAACUCGUGUUAAAUAGCAAAUCUAAUGGUUGCAACUCAUUGACAGCUUUGUAAUUUUUAUCCUCGUGGUAAAUAGUAUUGCCCUAAGUAAAGAAACAAUGGAAAAUGUUAUUUUUCUAGAAAAAUAGUAUCAAGAAUUUUUCAAGAUAUAGUUGGCAAGUUUUAAUUGUAUGAUUUAUUUUUUUAUUUUUUAUUUUUCAGCCACAUCUCGUUGAAUUGUGGCAAAUAAUGCAUUGUGAUUGACUGCUCUUUAUAUUCUUGAUGUUAUUUUUCUAGAGAGACAAAAUUUCUAUACUAUUUAUCAUAAAUUUAACUUUCAACCGUGUAGUAGAAAUAUUUUGAUUAUAAUUUGCUUUGUCUAUAUUUAUUUAUUUAUUGUUUUAUGUUGUAAGCACCAAUAAUUAUUGUUGUAUUCCAUUUUCAAAUAAGUCCUUGUAAUUUAAAAAUAUUUAUUUCUUUCAAAGUAUUUAUUUCAAUUUUUAUGAAUAAUUUGUUAACUAUUUAUCAAGUUAUACACUAUAAAAACUCAUGAAUUUUGAAUUUAUAAUAAUAGUUUGAAAGGCAACAUAAUCAAAUUAAUUUUUUGUUACUAUUAAUCUACUAGUUGCCAACAUAUAUUCAAAUAAACACACGUGGAAAAUAAGGUGGUUCGAGUACACAUAAAUUAUCCUCAAGAACAAGUCACUAGACUGUAAAAACGAUAAUAGAUAUAUAAAUCUAACACAAGUGAACGGUAAUUUGAUCAAAUAAAUAUUUAAAAAUUAUUAUAGCGAUUCUACUCAACACUUUUACAUUUAAAAAUACCGAUUGAAAAGUCAAUUUAAAUCUUUUUAUUGAAACUUCAAUAAAAAUAUAAGGAUUUACAGUAAAUAAAAAACGGUCCCUUGUAAUUUAAGAGAUUUGAAGUUAAUCUUUUAAGUUCAAAUCUAUUAUUUUGAAAAUAAAAAAUGAAAAAUUAAUUUAUUUUUGUCUUAUUAAAAUGGGUCCUUCUAAAUUAAAAAUCUAUAUUGAUCCUGGCUGCUGGACACUUGGAAGACCAAACAAAUAAUGUAAGGGUAGGUGAUACACAAUAAAAAAAAAAAAUUAAAAUGAGUUCUUAACACGUAUCAUGAUUGUUUGGUGAAAAGGGUCCCAUACAUGUUGUAGACUUUGUAGCAGGUUCAUUUUCUUAAAUCAUAUCAUGUCUUGUUUCCCUUUUCCUUUCAGUUUUCAUUGUUUAAUUUUUUCAAACAACAAAAUUUGACAUUAACAUUUCAUUGAAUCAAGAAUAUUGCAUUUAAAUCUUUUACGAGUAUAUUAAGAAAUAUAAUUCAAUUAUCUAUGACGAGUUAUAAUCUGUAGUAUAUUAUAUAAAAGUGAGAGAAACAUAUAUUUUGAUGAAGUAGUGUGUCACUUUUAUAAGAUUGUUCUUAAAUCAUCUCUAAAAAGAUUUAGUUUGCAAGAUCUGAUUGAAUUCGUGUGAAAAAGAAAAUUUCACAUGUAGACAAAUUAAAUUUUUUCUUUUUUUGCUUUCGCAUUAAUUUUCGACCCACCAAAAAUGGACGACUAAUCUGACUCAUGCAUAAAGGCAUGCGCACUAGUCAAACGUUGUUCUUUCUAAAAAUCGGACCGAUGUUUUCCAAUACGUCUUUGGAAUGAGCUCCUUACCAUUAAAACUCAAACAACUUAUUUAACAAAAGAAGAAAAUGAUAGUCUAAUUAAAGCAUAAUGUAAUUAAAGCAUCUAAAGAUAAUGGAAAAAUGUGCAUAUAAAAAUGUGUUAGUAGCAGUAACUUCUUUUUACGUACCUAGGGAAUCAAACACAAAAAUCCCGUGUCGGCAACAAUUUUUUUUUUUUUUUAAUGUCAGUAAAGUUGUUUGAAUAUUCAAACUAUAAGACAAAUUCUCUAUAGAAUUUUAAAUGAAUUUAAAAGUAAGUCGGCAAAUUGGUCACCAGCAUCCAAAUUGAAGAAUUAAGGAAUAUAUAUAUAUACUAUUAAUAGUAUUACUAUAUGGGUAUAAGCUAAAUGCAAGAAUUAAGGAAUGUAUGUAUGCAUGUAUAUUCGAGCUAGACAGCUUAUCUCAAUGUGUAAGUGAGGUCAAUUAGAGUAGACAACCAAAUCUUGUUUUUUAUUUAGUAUCAUAUAGUACUAAUUGAUUAGUAACAUUAUUUUAAAAGAAAUUGUUUGGUCUACAUAUAAAUCAAUAUAUACUUAUUCUAUGAUGUAGCCACUUUUUUAACUCAAUAUAAUGUAACAACUUGAGCUAUAUAUAUCUUACUUUUGCCCCAUCUUUCAUUAGUAUGCCUCACCAGCAUCUGAAAUCAUAUGAUAUAAAUUACUCUUGCGUACAUGCACCAAAAAGAUGCUUCCAUGAAUUCCUCCAUGAUUUCUGCAGGUUGAUUUGAGCAUAAAAAGUGUGAAAGAAACCUAAUCUACCUACCCCGGUUUCAUAUUAAGUGAUUUAAUAUACAGAAUUUACGUGUUUGUCUUUCCGCUUUUUUUUUAUUGCACUAACGUGUAGAUUAUCAACGAUGUUUUAUAAAAUUUUGUUUGUAAAUUACAAAUGAUAUUAUAUAUAUAUAUAUAUAUAUAUUAAAGUAUAGAUAAAGAUAUCUGUAAACUACAAAUUUAACAAACUCAAACCAUACUUAUCUUUUUUAAUGACAACAAUAAUAUAACAAAUAAAAUAAAAAUUCUUAUCUUUUUUAAUAACACCAACAAUAUAACAACUAAUAUAUUUUGAUCAUAUUUUCUUUUUUGAUAGAUAAGCGGUAUUAAUGUAAAGAAAAAUAGUAACAUAUAAUAUGUUGGAUUUGUAACUAAAUAUUGUUAAAAUGUCAAUUUUCUAUAACUUUUACUAAUAAAAAAACUAAAAAAAAUAUUAAAUAUCAAAAUUGUGUAUUAGCAUGUAUAAAACAACCAACACUACAAGAAAAACUGCAUUUUGCGACUUUUAAAAUGGCUGAUUGCGACUGUUAGAAGGAUCGCAAAUGUACAAUUGCGACUGUUUUCCAACAGUCGCAGAUGUUGGGGUCGCAAGUGUCUUUUGCGACCCUUCAUAGAACAGCCGCACCAACCGCCGCAAAAGCCACUGCGACAGUUGCCAACAGUCGCAAAUGACGAGAUUCACAUGGAUUUCAAGGGACUUGCAACGGAUGCUAACUGUCGCAAAUGUCUAAUUUAAAAUUUAUAAUUUAAUAUGCUGCGACUGUUUGAACAGUCGCAUAUGUAUAAUUUUUUUUUAAAAAAAGUCACAAUCUCAAAAUAUAAUUUAAUAUGCCCUGAUUUAAAAAAAUUUCGACACUAUUUAAUAUGAGAUGGUGGAAGUAGUUUGGUUUAUUUGAGUUCGACACUAUUUUUUGUGGUGGUCGGGGUUUGAAAUCCGAACCUUGCAUAUUUUAUCUAUUGUCCAUACCAACUGAGCUAAGCUCUCUUCAUACUAUGAUUUACCUCUUUUCAACAUUAUUGGUUAUCUUUAAAAAAGAAAAAACAUUAUUGGAUAAAGUGUUGUUUGCUUGGAAGAACAAAUUUUGGUCUGGGAUAUCUUAAAAUUCUAAAAGAAUAUCCACACCCAAAAGCUUGAUUUGAAAGGCAACUAUUUGGCCAAUGUUAGGCUCUGUUUGAUAAAAAUAGCGAAUAAUUGAUAAGCUAGCUUUUAGCUGAUAGCUUAUAACUGAUGACUGAUAGCUGAUAAGCUAACUGAAGUGUUUGGUAAAAAUAGUGGUUCAACUAUCUGAUAAAUGUAAAAUGAUAUAAAGGGUAUUCUUAAUUCAUAAUAAAAAUUAUAUCAAUUAAUAUUUAAGUAUUAGUAAUUUUGUAAACUAAUUUUUCUUUAAAAAAAAAUACUUUAAAUUUAUUAAUUUAAUAUAUCCUAUGUAUUAUAAAUUAAAUUAAAUUUUAUUCCCUAAAAUUUUAUCCUAUAUUUAUUAUCAUUUAAGUGUUUCCACUUUAUAAAGAACAUAACACUUACCUCAAAAAAAAAAAAAAAAAAAAGUUAACACUAAUAGAGUAAUACUAAUGAAGUAACACUAACAGAGAAUAAAGAAAAUAACACUUACCUCAAAAAAAUAAAAAUAAAAAGUAACACUAAUAGAGUAAUAGUAUUUUGUUCCGUAAAAAAAACGAAGGUAUAUAUUUUUUCAAAACAAAAAAAAAGGUCAUAUAAAAAAGUUGCAAUAAAUGGAUAGUAGUAUUUAUUACGUAGCUUAUUAUAAUAAAUUGUAAUCGAAUUUAAAUGAAAUAAUAAGGGUAAAAUUGAAAGAAAAAGUGAGAAGUUAUAAGCUUAAACGCUACUUGAAAUAGCGUCUGAAAAAUAGUUUAUAAGCUCGUAAAAUAAGCUAUAAGCUCGUGGUGAAAAGACAUUACCAAACAGAGCUUUUUUUGCCAAACAAGCUUAUAAGCUAUAAGCUAUGAGCUCAUUUUUGGGUCUUACCAAAUAGACCCUAAACCUAAUUAAUUUUUUUGGUCUUGUUAACGAGUGUCCCCGGGACACUUUUUAAGGAUUCCAAAAAAAUAUAUUAUUUUAUAAAAAAGUUAAAUAUUCCGAUUUCUGAUGCAAUGAUUACACACAUUUUCAUGAUAAAUUACCAUUUAAAGCUCUUAACUAGUGCCUCGGGGCAGUGGUUAACAUUUCCUUUUUUUUUAGUGUAUCAUACAUGUUAGAGUAAAUGGUCACUUUGAUCCUUGACUUUGCAUCUCGUUGUCACAAAGAUCUCUAACUCAGGAUUAAAUAUAAAGUAGUUUAUGAAUAUGCACUUCCGUUAUCAUUUUAGUCUCUGUCUUUAAAUAAUUUUGUUCAUUGAUGUUGUGGCAAAGGUUUUAUGCUAACAAGGGGUACAAUGUGUCACAUGAACUAAAAUGAAAGUAGAAAAUUGUCACUUUGCUCCCUGAACUGAAAAUCAAUAUCCCUGAAAAUUAAUAUCCCUGAACCGGAAAUUAAUAUCCCCAAACUCGUACCAACUAAGUGUUGCUCUUUGUCAAGAACCAAAUCAUCUUCCUCGAUGAAGUUGUUCCGUGGUUGCAGAAGACUCGUUGUUAGGUCCCUAUGAAUACUUACUAUAAGUUAGGUUCUUGACAGCAAACACUUACUGUCACUAAGAUCCCUGAUAGUAAAACUUAUAGACACAAAGUAAGCCUACUAUGAUCCUAAUUUAUAUCAAUUUAUCAAUUUUAUCAAUAUGAAAAAUUGUUUCAAGCUUUUAGAUCUGGUUAUGAAUCACAUUUUCCCAAAUUUUGUAUUUGUAUAUCUUGAAUUCCUUCAUAGUUUCUUCUUUUUAAUCUCGAUGUUAACUUCAAAUUAUACUAUUUCAUUUUAUAAGAAAGAUUAUUAGCUUCAAGAAUACCAAUUCAACCAAACUUCAAUUGAUUAUUUAUAAAUGGGUUUUGUUAGAAGACACCUUUUAUGAAGGUGUCUUUUAGCAAGUUAUUCUAUUAGCAAUUGGUAAAAGACAUCAACUAAUUUUUAUGAGGUGUCUUUUAACAAAGUUAUAACUAAAAAGUGAAAAUCACACCUUAAGGUGUGAGUUGCUAAAAGACACCUUCAUAGAUUGCUUCUAGCAUAACCCUUUACAAAUAUUGUCCUAACAUAUUUAUUUGAGCAUGUGCAUUUUUGCGGUAUGAUUCCUUAACAGAAACUUAAGCCACUUGAUUCGGUAUUUGUUUUUAUAUUAGCUAUUAUAAUAAUCACCGAUAUAACUUCAAACUUGUUGUCACAUUUCAGCUCAUAUUUUGCCUUUGUUGUCACAUUUUUAGGUAUGGUGUGUGUUCAUGGAAUAAGGUAUAGUCAUUGCAUAGAAGCAUGAUAAAUUGUUAUAUGCGUGGAAUAACAACCAUUGUGUGGAAGCAUGAAAAAUAUUGUGUAUCUGUAAGUGUUUACUAUUAGGGACUUUAGUGACGGUAAGUGUUUAUUGUCAAGGACCUAACUGAUAGUAAGUAUACACAGUUAGAGAUCUAACAACAAGUCUCCCGCAACCAUAGAACAACUUCAUCGAAGAAGAUGACCAAGUUCCUCAAGAACAACACUUUGUUGGAACGAGUUUGGAGAUAUUGAUUUUCGGUUCAAGAACCAAAGUGACAAUUUUCUACUUUCACUUUAGUCAGUGUGACACCUCAUAUACCCUUUGUCAGCAUAAGACUUUUGUCACGUCAUCUUUUAAUAAAAUUAUUUAACGUCAGAGACUAAAGUGAUAAUGGAAGUGCACAUUCAGGGAUUACAUCGACCUUUGUGAAUGUGAGGUGUAGAGUUAGGGACCAAAGUGACCAUUUACUCUACAUUUUAUUCUAGACUAAUUUUAAUGUAAAACUUUAAAAAAAAAGUUUAUGGAUUUAAUAAAAUAGCAUUUUUGUGGAGAAAAAAAAUUAGGAUGAACUUUAAUAGAAAUGCCGGUAAUUUAAUUCACCUUUGGACGCUUUCAAGGCCGUAUCUGAGACAAUGCGAGAAGGGCGACCGUUCUCGACCCUAAAAAGUAAAUUUAAAAUUUGGGCCCUAAAACAUAAAAUGAAGGAUUCAUUAAGUAGAAAAAUAUUAGAGAAUGCUUAAAUCAUAUACAUUUUAAUCGAAAAAUGACAUAUUAGAAAAUUGAAUAUCAUAUUUUCUAACGUAAUAAAAUAUAAUUUUCAAAAAAAUUAUUUUCACACUUCAAAAAUUCAAUUUUUUUAUACUAAUUAGGUAGGGCCCAUAUUAUAAGUUCGCCCGUAGACCACCAGAAAUGGCAUUGGACGCUUUAUUCUUUGAUAGAAAACAAGUUAGCAUGUAACAUCAAGUAAUUCAACUGAAGCUAUAUUAAUAAAAUUUGUUAAAAUUCGAAUCAACCGAGAAUGCUUGAUCGGCUCGACCAUUAACUUGAAUAAUGUUUAUAAGCCUUUAUUUACUUUUUAGCGAAGCUUUAGAUUAUAAGUGUUCAUUUACUCUCUGAGUUGAAGAUUAAUGUAUAAUAAUUGAAAAAGAAGCAAGUAAAAAACAGUUCUUAUGACCAUAUGAUAUGAUAAUUUCAUACAAAUAUUGAUUAUAUUAAUUUAAUAAAAAGUAAAUCUUAACUAACUUUACAAUUUUAAUUUUAUUAUAUGAAGUAAAAGUAACAAAAAAAAAAGAUCGUAAUCAAUGAGUCUCUAACUUGUCUAUUUAUUUAUUCUGCAAACUACUAUUUUAUUAAUAGAAAAGGAAAUUAGCCCUACAAAAAACUUGUGAGUUUUUCUACUUGCACCCUAGUUAAUCAUGGUUGCACCCCAAAAUGAUAAGAUUACCCUUUCAUAAAAUUUGAUUUUCAAAAAGCCUAUUCCUUCUUUUUUGGUUACACCCCAAAACCCUUCUUCCAAAACCAUAAUUCUCUAAUCGAUCGAUUGUGUUCUGCGAAGAUUUUCAAAACCAUACUUUCUCACGUCCAUUCAUGAUUUCAAAGAAAAUUCGAAGCAAAUCAGGUUAGCAAGUGUUGUUCUUCAAUCGAUUGUGUUUUUCUUGUUAUGGGUUCUCAGUUCUGAUUUUGUGUUUUCCUUGUUUUGCGAUUCACAGUUCUGCGAUUUUGUAAAAAAUCAGUUUGAGUAGGUUCAUGUAAACUCAGUUUAAGUAGGUUCAUAUAAACUCAGUUUAAGUAGGUUCAUGUAAACUCAGUUUAAGUAGGUUCAUGUUAACUCAGUUUAAGUAGGUUCAUGUAAACUCAGUUUAAGUUUACAUGAACCUACUUAAACUGAAUUUAAGUUAACCUUGCCAAUGUAAAUUAAAACCGUAAUCGUACAGUGCAUCAUUGCAGUUGAAGGAAAAAAAAUUGAAACUAGCAAAUAGAAGAAGAAAUUCACUUACUUAUAUCCAAUUGAGUAUGGAUGAAAAAUAUUUUAAUUCACUCUUUAAUUUUUAUGGAGAUUGAUAUUGAACAUCAAAUUGUUUGAUCGAUCGCUUUGUGGGGUGAAAGAGGGUGAAACUCACUGACAAUGAAUAAAAUUAGGGUUUUAAAAAAAUUUAUAUAAAAGGGCAAUUUUGAUAUUAUAAAAAAAAUUUAAGAAAAUUUGGGUGUAACCAGAAAAACAUGGGAUGUAAAUAGAAAAACUCAAAACUUAUUCGUUUAUUUUUUAUUUUUUUUAUUUAGCUACAUUUUAAUAAUAUCCAUCAUAAUUUUGCCAAAAAAGGGACUCAUGAAAAGGAAAUUUGAGAACAAAAGACAAAUCCAAAUCUCAACAUCCCAAAGUCCACCAACCCCAUAUGGGUCAAGUGGCAACUUAACAGAAGGAUGCGUUAGGUUGUAGGGUCUUUGCCAUGUUUCAAUAAUGUUUGUGAUAAUAUGUGUCCAAAGAUGUUAGGAAAAUCAGAGAAGCGACAAGAUUGCCACAAUUUUAAUUUCAAUAAAUGUUUUGCUAUCGAGUGUUGGUGUAUUUUUUAAAUAUUUAAAAUUAAGAAAAAUAUAUAUAUUUUUUAAAUUAAAUACUUUAAUUUAUAAUGUAUUGAAUAUACGAUUUAAAAAGAACUUCCUUUUUAAACUUCUUUAAAAAAUAUUAUAGAAAUACUCGUUAAUAUUUACCUUUCAAUUUCAAUAAUAGAAAAAGACAUACUAAUAAUGAGGCCACGAAUUCUCACUUGAAUUUAAGCUUUUGAGAUAUGAAUUAAUUUUACAUAUGUAGUAAUGUAUUAUAAUCAUUAAGUUCGAUGGCUAUCUAGGAGGAAACAACAUAUUCACUUUAUAUUUAAAAAAAUGAUAUUUGUACAUUUAUUUUAUAAUAAUUUUUGUGACAACUUUCUCUCUCAUAUUCACGUUAUAUUUUUACUUUAUUUCUUUAUUGUUUUGGUUUUCGUACCAAUACAUACAUUUCUUUGUAAAAAUAUGAUUGUCACAUAGGUUGUAAAAAAAAAAUAGAUGUUCAAAUAACACAACUCUUAUAUUUAAGCUUUUGAGAUAGAGUGAAAAUAAUAUGGAAAAUUAUCUUUAUACAUCUAUGUUCAAUCUACACUAUGAAAGAGAUCGAUAGAAAAAGAAUGGUGUAAUAUGAUAAGAGAUAUAGAGAGAAAAUGAGAUUAAAAUGAGUGUUUGAGAAUUAUAAGUGUACAAAUUUAAGGGAUUUCAAGGACUUCAACAUACUGUAUGUAUAUACUUGAUAUUAUUGCAAUUAUUAUGGUUGAUCAAUGUCAUCAAUAUUACCAACCAAAAUGUUAUCUUAAGUGCUAGCUCUAGUAUCAUGUUAAUAAACUUCCACUACUAGUUCACAUACUGUAUUUUCCAACAUAUGGUGACUUGUGGAAUUAAAUGGACUCGGAUGCUAUUUUAAAUUUAUGUCAAAUCUAACUCAUUUCUUACGAAAUUAAUUUGAAAGAUUAAAGUGAUCUUACAUGUAAACUCAUUUUCAAUGAGACUCUACAAAACUAAACAUGGAGGUGUCAAACUCAAGUAAGACUUGUAGGUGUGAUUAUCAUUUUGUAGAAAUUAAUUCCCAUGCCAGCUAAAAGUCAUUUGAACAUCAUCUCAGGAUAUAAAUUAAUUAUGAAUGGCCUGCCGAUAAUGACUUUGAUUAAUUAUAACACUCAUAGCGACUUAUGUAUCAAAUCAUUCAUUCAAUUCAAUUUAAAAACAUGGAGAAAAUUAUAUUCUUUUAUGGAACAAAAAUAAUGUUUAUGGAGCUAAGAUAGCAUUUCACGAGUUUCCCACAUUCCCUGUCGGGUUUCUAGCAACCACCCUUUUGAUUUGUGACCGCCAAAUUUUGAACAACAAGAAGAUGAAAAUAAUUUGGUCAACAAAAAAAAAAAGAAAUUAAUAAAAAGUUUAUUUGUAAAAAUUAAAUUAUAUAAGCCCGUACACAAAUUAAAAAAAAAAAAAAUAAAAAAAAAAACAAUUCAAUGGCUGAGAGAAGGAGAGAAUGUUUGACAGAUAUUUAUUUAAUUUUUUAUGAUUAUUUUAGUCUCUCAAGAUCAUCCUAUAUUGUAAACAAAAUCAUAUAGUCCUAUCUUCUCAUUUUUAUCAAAAAAUAAAAAAGUUUAAAACUUUCGAUUUGAUAAAAUCAUUUUUGAAGUUCAAAAGUUUUUUAUGUAGUAAAAUUAUAUUUUAAUUAAUAAAACUUUUUUUUUUGAAAGAAAUUAAUAAAACUUAAUUGCUUUAUAAAAUGUGAUAUUAAAAUUUGAAGAGUUCAAUUUUUAUUACUUGUUGUGAAUUAUUUUAUAUAAAAGUUCCACAAUUUUUUUUUUUUAAAAAAACCACAAUUUUUUUUUUUUUUAUAAUGAAGAUUUCCAACUUUUAAUUAAAUGAGAAGUUCCAAUCCCCAUAAGCUUAACUCAGAUAGUAUAGAUAAUGUAUGUUAUAUGCAAGGUUCAAGGUUCAAACCACGACCACCAAAAAAAAAAAAAAACAGAGAAGUUCCACGUAUCUAUUUUACAUUAUCAGUCCUUAAAUAAUACUUUGUUUUAUUAUAUAAUCUUGGAUGGGAUUUAGUUUAGUUGAAGUUCAGUAUUAAUCAUAAGCAUGCAAGGCGGUUCCCGAUAAUUUAGAGGUCCAAUUGUAAUUUUGAUAAUUUUUGUUUAAAAAGAAUUGAUAAAAAAAAAAUCCAUCAUCAUUUAUAAUGAUAAAUAAUUAAGUUGUAGUUAAAUACAUGAGUAUAUGUUCAAACAUGACUUUUACUUACAGACAAUCAAACACUUACAUAUGAGCAAUGAAUACUUGAUGGCAAAAUUGUUGUCUUUCAGACUUUCAUCUCCGAAAAAUGAGAUUUAUUGACUAAUUUUGUCCGUAAGUAAAAGUGUUGUUUUUUAUUUUACUCACCCUGAAAAUUGUACCCCAUCCCUACAAAUAUUUGAGACCUCUGUAAAUUAGAGGUUCGACUUCAUAGAGCUCCUUGCUCUUGUCCAAGAACGAGCAUGUAAGCAUGAAGAGGCAUAUAUGUUUAUUUUAUCAUAUAUAAUUAUAUAUUUAUAAAAAUAAGUUUGUAAAUAGUUGGAGGGUAUCGAGUCAAUAAAGGUUGAAGUCAAUGCUCAUUUUAUAGACAAAACUAUCUCUAUAGGUCAAAACAAAAUGACCUACAACUUAUUUGCAUGAGUUAUGUUCUGUGUUAUUUUCCCUCGUUGAGGUCCCUACAUUUGAUUGACAACUUCCCACUUUAUGUCAUGAUCCGUUGACAAGAACUAUAAUAUGCAUCUUUUCUUAAAAACAUGCUAACUUACUCACGCUAUUUACGAUUAGCGACGCUAUAAAAAGAAAGUAUGAGUUUAACGUCGCAUUGUCAAAUUCUACCGAGCAUUUAUACAAUACGAUGUCUUCCAGACUCACAUGUUAGUUAGUUGACUCGAGAAAAAUUUGAAUAACCUCAUUCGACUGCAAUAACACUCUCGCUUAAUCUUUCACUAAUUGAGGAAACUCAUCAAACUUUUAAUCUCAUAUAAGCAAUUUCGAUUAGCAAAGUAAUAACUUUGGGAUCUUUAAUUUGUGCUCUUAAAAAACUAUUACAUUUUUUAUGAAAGAUAUUAACAUUCUUCAUAAAAGAUAUGUUGUUUAUUAUUCAUGAAUAUUUCGGGUUGGUUCCACAUUCUCACUCUAAAAAUGUACUCCAAAAUUCUACAAAUGUACUCCAAAGUUCUACUCUAGUUGGUAAAUAACAGAAUAUAAUUUAUCACCGACACCGAUACCGCUUGCUUCUCUUUCAUUCAACAUAUUCAACAUCUUGAGAAUUUGACAUAUAUGCAUUGAUUGAGAAACACAAUAAUUUAUUCAAAUGCUCACAGUUAACUGCUGAAUUAUGGAACCGGUUACAAUUAACUACCGGAGGAAAACUUCGGCAGUAAACUACCGAGAAAAACUAAAAACUUCGGCAGUUAACUGCCGAUGACACCUCAAACAUGUUUUUCUUUUGUUGACAAAAACCAUAAAUUGUCAUUAAUAAUAUUUAUUGAUUUCGAAUGUUUCAAUCAUUAUUUUAGUACGUUUCAAACAAUUGCAAUAUUAUAUUUAUGCGUAUAUAUUUUAAUAAGAAUAACAUUAAAUCAGUGUAAAAAUUAAGCAUUUGAAUAUUGUUUUGCACAUUACUUAAAUAAAAAUAAUAAUAAAAAAAUCGUUAAAAUAAUUGUGCACAACGAUUUUUUUAAAGUAUAAUAUGUUGUUAUAUUUUCUACAUUAAAAUAAUUCUGCACAAAUAUUUUUUUUUUAUUUAAGUAAUUUGCAAAACAAUAUUCAAAUGCUUAAUUUUUACGUUUAUUAAAAUAUAUUUUGAGUAAUGCUCUUUAUAUUUUUCAAGACAAAUAUAACAACACCUUUACAUUGGCUUGGUAAGAAAACAGAGGUAAGUUAUGUCACAUCAAAAAAUAUCCUAUACUUGGUGUGUUACUAACCAGACUCACAUGUAUUUAUGUUGGUGGAUUAAACUCAAUUAAAAUAAUUCAAAUUAUUAUAUGUUUUUAGUAAAAUGCCUAUGACCCUAUAUUUAACUUAUUAAAUCGCAAAACAGCUGUUGUAAAAAGUCUAGAAAUACAAUAAUAUAACUUCUCAUAAUUUAUAUUACUAUAUAAUUUGUCGUACAACCCCUGCAAACGCAACAGGCUAAAGACUACACAUCAUCAACAUUUGCAUGUACUAUUGAUUGUACAUGUCAUGGACCAUAGCAGAACAGUGCUGCUUUACAACUGUCAAAAUAUAAAAGCUAAACUCAUAAUUCAUCAUUCAUAAUUCAUAAUAUAAUACAUAAACAAAAGCAAUCCUAUCAUAGAAACAGAAUAUAAUAAAUUAACACUUUUUUGUGAAGACAAAAUGCGGAAACUUUGCUUCCAUUUUUCUCUUUCGUGUAUUAUUAUUUUAUCAAGUGCGCUCUUCUUCCUUUUCCAUCGCUUUCUUUAUUUUUCAAAUAUUCUUCAUUCAUAUAUAGCCUACAAAAAUAUAAAACAUGCAGUUAUUAUUAUUAGUCAGUCAAUGUCACUAAUUAUAUGGUCCCUCACCUAAAUCUAAACGAGAAAAAUAUUUAUUAUUUAUCCGUAAAAAGUUGAUGUAGACCAUACACCACUUUGCUCAUAUUACUAGAAUAGUCAAAUUUUGCCAAAAGCAUGUAAACACAUUUUGAAGGGUUGAAUCAUGAAUAUUGAAUACUCACCGGUUCUCUUAAGUCAUUUAUCUGAUUAUGGAUAUUUUUGUUUAAGUUUCCAAAUGAAAUGAUAAAUUAUUAAUAAUUAGUUUACUCAAUGGCAAUAUGUGUCAAAAAUCAUUUGUUAUUUUCCAAAAUCGUUCACUCAUAAUUAAAUUAUUUUAUUCUUUACACCAUUCCCAUUAAUCCUUACAUGAGACAGAAAAAUUAAAGUAUAUAAGAGUAUUUUUGUCAGUAGAUAGUUAAUGUAUAAUGUGUCUCAUAAAUAAUUGACAGACAAAUAUUAAAAAGAAAUAUUAUAUUAUAUUAUAUUUAAUGAUGGAGGAAUUACACUGCAAUACGAAGGUGACGAAAUAAAUUAUGCGAUAAUAAUAUUGUAGAGGAGAUUAAAUAAAAAAGCUUACAUGCAUAGAGAUAUGGUAAAUCGACCACUAUCUAAGAGUGGUAAGGAGGGGGUGGAGAUGCAUAGAUGUAACUGUGAACUGGUGGUGGAGGAGAGUGAUAAACUGGGUGUGGAGUGUAGGGAGGAUGAACUGGUGGAGAGUGGUAAACUGGUUUUGGAGUGUAAGGAGGGUGAACUGGUGGUGGAGGGGAUGAGUAUUUGUAUGGCUUCUUUGGUGGUGGUGGAGAGUGGUAGUAGGGCUUAGGGCUGACGUGAUGCACUGGUGGAGGAGGAGAGGAAUAUUUGUAUGGCUUCUUUGGUGGUGGUGGGGAAUGGUAGUAAGGUUUAGGGCUUAACAUGCACUGGUGGUGGAGGAGAAGAAUAUUUGUAUGGUUUCUUUGGGGGUGGUGGAGAAUGGUAGUAAGGUUUAGGGUGGACAUAUGGUGGAGGAGGAGAAGAAUACUUGUAAGGUUUCUUUGGUGGUGGUGGUGGUGAACUGUAAUGGUAGGGAGGAGGAGGUGUAUAAACGGUGGGGGUGGAGAGUGGUAGUAGUAUGGUUUCUUAGGUGGUGAGUACACUGGUGGUGGUGGUGAAGAGUAAUGGUAAGGUGGUUUAACUGGAGGGUACACCCCCGGUGGUGGGGAAUGUGGAGGGUACACCUUAGGUGGUGGUGGAGAACUAUAAUGGUAAGGUGGUGAGACUGGUGGAUACACCUCAGGUGGUGGUGAAUGUGGAGGGUAUUUCUUAGGUGGUGGUGGGGAAGAGUAAUGGUAAGGUGGUUUAACUGGUGGGUACACCUUGGGUGGUGGUGAAUGUGGAGGGUACACCUUAGGAGGUGGUGGUGAAGAGUAAUGGUAAGGUGGUGAAACUGGAGGAUACACCUUAGGUGGUGGUGAAUGAGGAGGAUACUUCUUAGGUGGUGGUGGUGAAGAGUAAUGGUAAGGUGGUGAAACUGGAGGGUACACCUUAGGUGGUGGUGAAUGUGGAGGGUACACCUUAGGUGGUGGUGGUGAAGGGUAGUGGUAAGGUGGGGAAACUGGAGGGUAGACCUUAGAAGGUGGAGGAGGUGAAGAAUACAAGUAGCUGUUUGCUGAAAUUUGAGAUGUAUGGAGAGAGACACUAUUAUGGCUAAUAGAAGAGUCAAAGUGGCAGAGGCCAUUGGAGACCUCAUUUUUUUUUUUUUGUUCUCUUGUUGCCUUAACCUCACUAGAUAGUGGGAUUUUGAUAUGCUAUAAUGUAACCAAGUGAUGCCCUUUAUAUAGAUCUUUUAUUUACCUACUAGUACUAAUCAUGUUGGUUGGUAACUUUGUUUUCAACUUGUCAAAAUUUUGUUGCCAAUAAGGCGUUGCCGUAUCUUUUUUUAAUUAAAAGUCAAUAAUAUUCAAACACAAGUUUUCAUUAAACAAAAACUAACUUACUUUUCUGAAUAGGUUGAUUUAAUUGGAAAAAAGGGAGGAUAAUUUAUACAAAAAGAGAAGUUGUAUUCCCUAUAUUCGGUAUCAUAAAAAGAAGAGAAACAAUUAUUAAAGCAAAUUUUGGUUAUUUUAUUUUAAUCAAUUUUUUAAAAUUAUUAAAAUGGACAGUGUUUAAUUAAACCAUUUUUUACCUCAAUAUCCCAAGUGAGCUUUGGAGUGCGUAUUUGGAUUUGAUGUAGGCUGCAAGCUUUUAGCAGGAAAUAAAAUAUCUUGAAAUAUCUCAAAAUAAAACAAAAUGGACAGAAAUCCGUAAGUGUAGUUCAGUUGAUAGCUACCAGAGAUAAUGUUUAUAAGGGUUGGGGUUCAAAUCCCAAAUUCCCCACACUAGACUAUUGAAAAAAAAAAAAAAAAAAAAGACAGAAAAUAUAAAAUGUGUUAAAUUGAUGUAGAUUAUUGGAGGUGUUAAAAAAUCAUCAUUGUAUUCUAAUGCCUAAUUUAUCUUCUCCACAUAUCUUUUACUGUUCUUGAAAAAUGCAUGCAUAGAGACCUAACUUCGUGCUAUAUUCGUCUGUCCCUUGAAGACUUUUCAAAAAGACUCGUACACCAGGGCCCAUAUGCAUGGCAUAGCAGCCUCAAUUAUAGGACGAUAAUUUUACGUGAAAUUUUUAUUAUUACUUUAUACAAAUAUUUAUUUAUUUAUUAAAAUUUUACAUAUUUACUUUUUUAAAGUAUAGACAGAAAUUUUUUCAUUUAAGUAAAAUUAAUUUCGAUGUUAUUAAUUCAUUUCCUUUCAUCCUAUCAAAUUAAUGAAUACUAUCCUUGUUGGUAGGCAGAGUCUAGAAUAUUCUAGAUUAGUAUAUACACUUCUAGCUACCUAUCACAAAUUUUGCAUGCAUUUAAAUGAUUUAUCAUGGCAUCGUCUCAGGCUUGGUCCUUUUCAGAUAAAGACAAAAGUUAUGUCUCUGUUUACUUUUAAGCCAAAGUUUUUUUUUACUCUUGUGUAAAGUAAAGUAUAUGACUUUUGAUAUACGGAUAGGAUUCUGGGUUCAAUUGGAUAUAAUUUACCCCGAGGUAUAUAACUAUUUUCUUAUAUUGUUGUUGCUUUUCUAAAACUAUCAAUAAUGAAAGAGAAAUGAUAUUUGUACAACCAUUUUUUAUAAUUUUUAGAUAAAAAUUUCUCUUUCAUAUUCACAUUAUAUUCUUACCCUCUCUCUUCCUUUUUCUCUCUCCUUUGUUUUUAACCAAUGAAAAAAGAGAAAAAGAAGGUUGUCAAAAAGGUUGUACCAAAUGGUUGUUCAAAUAUCAUUGCUCUAAUGGAAAGGUCUUAAUAUCAUCUUUAUUUAGUCUCGUUUUGGAAAAGUGAUUUAAAAUCUGAUCCGAUCAUAACGAUUUUUACAUAAUAACAUAGAAACGCAUAAAAAAAAUAUUCGAUUUUUUAUGAUUUUUUUGUUUUUUGAUCGAUUUGCAGUUUUAUUUUGAAUCGGCUUGUAUUUGAACACCCCUACUUCUUACUCAUCCACACAAGGUAACUCGAAUCAAGGUUGAGAAGAAUAAUUAUUUGUUGAAUCUACCAUUUGUGGUGGACUAAUCUUUUAAAUUUCUCGUAAUAGUUCUUUUUACUUUCAUUCAGGUAUUCCUUAUCUGUUUCUGAUGUAACUUGAUUUUUCUCUUUGCUUCUCUCUAGUAUACUUUGUGUAGGGCAAGAAGUAAAGAGGUUUAGUUAUGGAAAUUCCAUAUUAGCUUUUUUAAAAUAAAAAAAAAUAGAACAAUUUGUUUCACCAUUUAAUUUUUAUAAUUAUAUUAUAAAUAGAGAGAUUAAAGUAAAGUUGACUAAAAAAUUCGAGUAGCUAAUAAGCUCGUACUUCCUCUAAUUCUUAUUAUACGAGAAAAUUUGUUUUUCAGAUUCAUUCACUAAAUAAUGUACCAUGUUUCUAAUAUAAAAUAAAUACAUCAUUUAUUGAAUCUAAAAAAUCAACUUUCUUUGAUAAUUGAGACCCAGGGUAGAACAUGGCAAGGGUUGAUUAUAGAAAAAUGCUAAAGAGUGUCUACACUUAAAAUGGUAAGAAAUUUUGAAAAUCUAUAUAACUAUUGCAUUAGAAAUAAAACUCUUUGACUUUUUAAUGAAUUUCUAAAUUAUAAAUUAUUAAAAAAUGUCAUAGAGACACUUGUUAGCGAUAUGAUCUGUUAUACUCUAUAGGUCGCGUCCUUUUUUUUUUUUUUGACAAGUGGGUCGCGUACCUAUUCUUAAUCAAUCAAAAAUAUGUUGGAUAACAUAUUUAAUUCACCGUUGAACAAGAAUAAUGUUUUUUUAUUUAUUGUAUCAAAGAAUAAUGUAUUUUAUUCACCGUACUAAUAUUAUAAAAAAAAAUAAAAAAAAUCGACCGUCGUUCUUUUAAUUUUUCUGUCCUAAAAAAAUACUCAGUUUAAACGAGCAAGCAUAUAUUUUCAAUAUCUAAUUUUUUUCUCAAUUUAUAUUCCACUCAUAUCAUAUCAUAUAAUAUACUUAUUUUUGGUCAAAAAAAAUAUAAUAUACUUAUUUAUAACAUUAAUCACAUCGUUGACUUAUUUCUUUCUCUUUCAAGAUACUGAGGAGAUUUUCUUUAUAAAAAAAAAAAAAAAAAAAUCCAUAUUGAGGAGAUGUAUGCAUAUGUACACAAAUCAUUAAAAGUGUAAUUGAGUUGUGUAAAACACAAAAAACUGCAGAGAUGGGAACAAAUAAAUUAAUAGAAACGGCAGCUUAGUUCAUGCUCUUACAUCAGUAAAAAAUUAGGUGGGAGUUAUUAUUUUUCCACAGAUUAGCAUAUAUAUACCCCACAGGUCCAUAUCAUUUUUCCCCUUAAAAAAAGUCCAUGUUACUUUUGUUUCAAUGUAUCCAAACUAGGAAAAGUCCGGAAAAUUAGAUUUUACCUAGGCAACAACACAUCACCAUUAAUUAUUUUUUCCAUUUUUUUAGUUUUCCAUGUUUUAAGAUUUUUUAUCUUUACUAAAAGAAUCAAUAAAUUCUAAUAUCUAUCUCAUUACACCUAUUUUUUUGUUACAUGAGAUAAAAAAGAACAAAGACACAAAAAAAUGAAAAGAAAAAAAUUAUGCCCUAAUAAAGUACACAUCAACCUUAUCCCCGUGAGCUUAACUCAGUUGGUAGGGAUAUUGCAUAUUAUAUGCAAGGGCCGGGGUUCGAACCCCGGACACCCCACUUCUCCACAAUUAAAUUGUGUGAACUCUAGCCACUAGACUACUUGACCAAAAAAAAAGUACACAUCAACCGUGUCAAGUAAUAAAUUAAGCCCUAAUAAGAAGAAAAAAAAAACAAAAAAUUAAGCCCUAAUAAAUUCCAAUAUCUCAUCACAACUAUUUUUUACGAGGGAAACAUGUCUAAUGUAGAUAAAAUAUAAUUGGUGCAAGUUUGUGAAUUUAGAUUAUGUUUUUUAAGAAGGUAAACUAAAUUAUCAAAAUUGACAUAAAAGAUAAUCAAACAUGAGACUCGAAAUAUACUUUCACAGUUUUUAAAAUUUCAAUUCAAAUUUAGAUUAUAUUCGAUUACAUCUAGAUCACAAAAGUAUAAAUUGAAAAAAUAUAAAAAAAAAAAAAAAAAAACUUUCUAAGAGCAUUACAACUUUAAUGUUAGAGGUGGCCUUUAAUUUGUUUAACCGUGUGUAGUUUUUGUUUUGUUUCGUUUUUGUUUGUUUUUCAUCCUUUUAUUUUGGGUUAGAUUUUUCUUCUCCUUGUAUUUUUUUUUUCUCAUUUAUUUUGAUAUAUUUUAAAAUUAUAAAGAACAACAGCAAUAAUAAUAAAUUAAUUGCCCUUAAAACAUUUUAAAACCGUCACUAGCAAGUUAAGGGAAGUCACCAACCACACAAUAAUGACCCUUAGGAUAGUUUAUUGAUUUAAGUCAUCAGAAGUAAGAAGAAAGAAGAAAGGGAAGGCACCAACCCAAACAAUGAUAUUCGAUGAUCAUGACUAAAAAAGGUUUAACUUUCAUAUCCAACCCCUGCAUAUGCAUAUGCUUGACUUUAAUAUUGGGAUAUGAUCCAAUAUUUUGCAUCAUGCAUAAGUUAUUUUUUUCAUCGUUAGAUAAAAAAAAUGUCACACCAUUGCACCAAAAAAAAUCACAUUAAAUUUAAGGGUUAAAUAUGUUAUUGGUCCCUAUAAAUAUACCAAUUUUUCGUUUUAGUCUCUCUAAAAUUUUCCUUCAACUUUUAGUCCCUAAAAAAUUUUCCAUCUUCACUUUUGGUCCUUCUUUUAAAGUAAACUCAUAUGUAGAAUUCAUAUUUUUGAAUCAAAUUUUUCAGAAAAAUUCAUAAUAUUAUAAGAAUCUCUCCCAAAAAAAUUAGAACUUUUUAACAAAACAUGAAUUUAAUAUGAAUUUUUAUAUUAUUUAUGGUUAAAAAUUCAUAUAUAAUUUAUGUUUACUUAAAAAAUUCUAAUUUUUUUUUUGAAAUGUUUUUACAAUAUUCUACACAUUUGUGUACAAUUUCAUUAAAAAAAAAAUACUAAAAUUUACUUUGAAAUAGGGACCAAAAGUAGUGACUCAAAAUUUUACAGGGACUAAAAGUUGAAGGAAAAUUUAAGAGGGACUAAAACGAAAAGUUGCUAUAUUUAUAGGGACCAAAAACAUAUUUAACCCUAAAUUUAAUAGUAAAAUAUAUUGAUCCGAUAAUAAAAACUAAUUUAUGUAUGUUGUAAAAUUUGUUUCAUUUAUAUACAGUAGGAUUGACAUAUCAUUUGCUAGAGUAAUGUUUCUUGGACACCUUAUAUAUGUAUGGCACACUUAUUUUACACUAAAAAAUAAAAUAUUUAAUAUAUAAAAACUGUUUUUUUUUCCUUCGAAAUGAUAAAAAUUGUUUAUUUUUUAUAAUAAUAUCACUUAUGGUGGAAGACGGCCGAAAACAUGCCAUAACAUAGAGCUCCAUCGACCAUCGAAACUUCACCAUCGAUCAUCGUUGAGUCACUAAAGCUCUUCCACCGACCACCUUGGAUCGUUAGAACUCCACACCAUCGGCCAGCCACCAUCAAUAUUGAGGUGUCAAACAAGUGUCCCUAUAUAUGAACCGUUUACAAAGGAAGAAACAUAACAAUGUAAAGGGUUAGAAAAUGCUUUGGAAGAGAAGAUAACAAAAACAAAACAUAGAGGAAGAAAGCAGAGUAUCUGAAAGAGAUGAGCACAUGAUCUGCGACGACAACAGAGGAAGAGAUGAAGAGCUCGUGUGAGAAGAUAAAGAGUUUGAAAAAUUUAGGGUGUAUAUUAAAACAAAAAGUUGAAAUAUUUAUAGAGACUAAAAACAUAUUUAAUCAACAAAAGUUUAUAAAGAGUUGCAUUGCACCCUUCAUCUUACAAACCGAUUUUAUGUGGUUGAGUUGCACUCAAUAUAAAAACCUAAUAUGGUAAUCGUUUGGGACCAUCUAUCAUUUAUAUCCACGCAUCAAACUCAAUAAUGUCAGGUGUGAUUUUAUAUUUUAUAAAGAGCGACUUCCAUCACCAUACAUAUCAGUUUUGUAAGAAUGCCGACUGAACAUAAAAACCUAAUAUCUAGUUACAUAUUUCAUUAAAAUAACACAUUUUGCACAUAUCACACAUCCAUUAUUUAUCCAAAAAAAAAAUCACACAUCCAUUAUACUUUUGCGCUUAAACCAUUAUAUUUUACAACUAAAUUAUAUAUUUUAUCUGUCUCAUUAUAAAUGUAUUAUUCGUUUUUUAUGUCUCAAAACUUUAAAAUAUCAAUAAACAAUUGAUUUACUUUUUAUUAGCCUAAAAAAAGUAAAAUUAAUAAGCUUUUGUAAUAAUGAAAUUCUCUUUUAUCAUUAAAAUUAACCCAACUAAUUAUUUACUUAAAAGUCGCGCCCAAAUCAAAACUCUUAUACUGGGAUAUCUUCAUCUUUGUUUUGGCCUAAAAUUUGGAGCAGCAAAUACUUCAUUUUAUGUUUUAUUUAAAUGGACAUAUUGGAUAAAUUACAGGCCGUGAAAUAUCAUGUCACAUACUUUUAUUUUCUUACAUACACCAUAUUAGUCAUUCAAAGUUCGUAUGAAUCUGCAAAAUCUAGUUUAAUUGUCAAUGUUGAUAUUGUUGGACUAGACAUAAUCAUUCGGAUUCUAAUAUGAUAUCUCAUAGUUGUGUUGUAUAUGAAUUUAUUUAUGUUGAUGUUUUUCAAUUUGUGUACAAAAAAGAAAAUGGAGGAGUUCUUUAGAAUAGUAAGAUAGGUUUAUAUAUAUGAAAGUAGCAUGUGAUUUUUUUUACUAUAUAGUACUUUUUUUAACUAUACAAUACUUGUAAGUUAAGGAAUCAAUCAUGCAAAUUAAAAUUAUAAUAUGAAUAUGUAAUUUAUAAUGAUUGUGUAUAAAUCAAUUAACAGAGAAAGCAGAAGACUUGUCAAAAAAAAAAAAAAGAGAGAGAAAGCAGAAGAUAUAAUAUGAAUAUGUAAGUUAUAAUGAUCGUAUAUAAAUCAAUUAACAGAGUGAAAGCACAAGAUAUGGACCUAAGAUCCUAUGGAAAAAUAAAAUAAAAAAAGAAAAAGAAGAAGAGACGAUUUAAUUUGAUAGCUAUACCAGCCCCAAAAGCAUAACAAAAUAUUAUAUUUUAAAACAUAAAUUGAGUAUCCAUUAUUACCAUUAUGCAACACUUUUAGUUUUCCUCAUGUCGCCUAGCGGGUAGAAAACUUGGAACAUAAUUGAUUUUUUGUUUUUGAAGGAUUGGAACAUAAUUGAUGAGGAGCUACAAGAUAACCUUUUCACUAAAAAAAUUCAAAAAGAAAAGAGAGAGAGCUCCAUUACACGUGAAAAAGAAAAAGUGGAUCCGGAUAUUCGUAAGACAAAUAGAUUAAAAAAUAAUUCCUGGCAAAAAAUAAAAUUUACUCAAAGAUAACUAUAUUUUAAAAAAUAAUGCUGUGUCAAAUAAUUGGAUUUUGGAAUAUUAUCAUAUCUUAAAUAAAGUUUAUAGAACGAUUCAUCAUUGAUCAUGUUUAAACUCGAUUACUUGGUUGAAGAUACAUUCCUUUAACAGUAGGGUAACAAAAGUAUUAAAUAUGACCCCUAAAAAAACAUAUAUUAAAUAUCAACCUAGUUACCGACAGAGAAAGAAAGGAUUACAUGCAACGACGUGCUCAUAAAGGAUCCAACGGCCACAAUUUGAUUAGAUAUUGUUGUCAAAAAUGUGACCAAGUAACUACGUGGUACAUGCACGUCACAAAUGGUAACAAAUGCAAAAGUCAAAGUAGAUUCACAUCAAUCAAUUCCACAAUACGUGUCCUUUGUGUUUGGUUUGUAGUUUUCUGUGAAGGUUCCCAGUUUGAAUGAAUACUUGCAAACAAAGUCCAAAAAUAUUGAUAGGGAAACCAUAGAAAGGUUAUCGAAAUUGAAUUUUAAUAUGUAAUAAUACGUACAAAUUUGUGUUUUAAGAUGUUACAAAUGAACGAAGAAACAGAAUAUGAUGCUACCAUUCACAUGCAUCAUGUGUUUUUCGUGCUUUUUUCCUUCGCACUAUAUAACAACAUUCCUCAAAAUGAAUCAACUCGUUUGUUCAAAUUUUGAAAAAUUCGUGAAUGAGACUACGUUGAUUCGGAUAGCUUGGAUUAUUGAGGACUGUUAUAUAAAACGAAAAAUGCCUCAUGAAUUAAUCUUUAGAGCCAAUCAAAUUUGCUUCCGGGCGGAAAACACGGGGGGUGGGAUGUUAAGUUGUGUUGAUAUAUUUUUCAACGUCAUGUGAUAUACAUCUUUGGGAUGAUUUCGCUUUCCCUUUCUAGCUAUACAUAUCAUUUCCCUUGCUGAUAAAUUUGAGUAGAUUUGUUUCGUUUGGCAUUUAGUAAUUUUGAGAUUAUGACAAACAUUUUUGAAAGUACAAGUAAAAAAAUGCUAUUUUUUUUUUCAAUACUAUCGUAGAAAGAUUAAACUUUAGAAGAAAUUACACUUGUAUUUUUGGAUAGUUUUAAAUCUUUAAGAAGUUAGAAUUUUGUUAAAAAAUUUAGCUUGAUAACCUUAGAAGUAUGGAUUCGUGAUGACUUUUGUAAUAUUACUUUUUUUUGUUUUGUUGCAACGUUAGAUUUUUGAAGUUUUAACAAAAAUAACAAUCAAAGUAACAUUGUCAUUGUGAUAUCGUCAAUUAUACACUAAUUUGAUAUUGAUCCAUCAUCUGAUAUGAAGACGUACAUGCAUGAUGUGUCAAAAUAAUUUUUAUGUCAAAAUAGCUUUGGUAGUUUCAAAAUCAAGAUCAUUAGUUAAACUUGAAUAAUCUCUCCCAUCCAAAUGUUUUUGGAUCUGAUUUUGUUGGAACACUCAACCUCAAAGAUCAUUUAAUUUUCGAGGUAUUUGUUUGCAUGCUAAUUUUUAGUGAAAAAGAUUGAUGGACACCCAAUGCAUCUCUCUCUCUGGUUGAAAAUGUAUGACACGUCUAUGGAAUUGGUGGAUGAAAUGUUUAAAUAUCACCAUCCUAAUUUUUUAGAAGGAUUCGAGAUUUAAUGUUUACAACUGUGUUUGAAAAUUUUGGGGUCUUAGGGUGCGUUUGUUUUGCUAAAAAAUGAAAGACAAGACAGAACAACUCUAAUUGUCCAGUGUUUAAUUUGUAAAACUGUUUCAGGUACAUGACAACUUGGAGGCAAGGGACAGGACCAAAACUCAUAUUUUUGUCCCUCACCAAACCACAUCACAACUUUUUGUCCCACGUACAAGUUGUCUAAAAUAGCAAAAUAGUUUUUAUUCCUCAAAAAUCGUAUAAAACAAAAAAUUACUCAAUGCCAUAAAAAAUUUGUCAUGUGUUGUUCUACCUUGUGUUGUAUUGUUCUAUCUUCUACUGUUCUGUCUAGUACUUGCUGUUUUGCAAACCAAACACAUCCUUAGAGUUUUGACAAGAUAAAUUAAUUACUCAAUAAAUCUAAAAAAAUCAAAUAUUUUUUAUAAAUAGGACCGGAAGGAAUACUUAAUUGUAUGCAAUGCCUCCCAUGUUUUUCGGUAAUGACCAAAUUCAAUUAGCUAAGCACUUUUCGGGAUGAUUUCUCCCGCGAGCAAUAGCAUUGCUAAAAAAAAUAUACAUACAUAAACUAUCAGUUUCAUACUAUUAAUCUUCUGAUUUGUUUUAGCCACAAUUUUAUAAUCAAGCAUUCUUAACAUUUCAUUCUUAGUAAAUAAAAUCUUUAAUUUACUAAAUCUGUUGAUGAUCUUAGAUAGAUUUGGAGAAAAUAUUAAAAAGUUAAACUAUAUUUGUAUGUAAAGGAGUAAAUAAUAGUUUUAUCAAUGUAAAAAAAUUAGUAAAUACGAUUUAUUGGGUCAAUUAGCUUAAUUGCAAGAAUCACAUCCUUUUUUAGUGUUCCUUUCUUUUGAGAUAUAUCAGGAAUUACUUAUAUAUGAAUAGAAGGCAAACGAACAAUAAGAUGCGUCGAUAGAUCUUUUUGAAUGACACAUACCUUAAACGCAAAGAAGUGAGAAAUCACAUACAUCGAAUAAUUCUACAACUAUCAAUUAAGUUGUGCGCACCAUUAAUUGAUGAUUACACUUCAAUCAACCUUUGGAAAGUUGUUACAAUGUUAAUUGAUGAUUACACUACAAUGACACACUUUUAAAAAAAUUGUGGUACACGGUUAAUUGAUGAUUCCAUUACGAGGAGACUUUUACAAAAGAGGAAUGUUAGCAACACUCUCUUUUGAACACUCUCUCUAGCACUCACUCUUUUCUUGAGUGAAAUUAAUGUAUGUCCCACCACUUUAUGUGAGUUGUAUUUCCAAAGUGUAGGUCCUACAUUAAUUUUAAUAAAAAAAUGUUUUACGGAAAAUGCUAAUCCUUCGAGGGGAUGGGAUUGAAUGAGAAUUUUAAAGGGGUAACUUUUGCAUAUAUUUGUUAAUUUUUUUAAGUGUCUUAUACUUAUAUUUUGAGUACUGCUAUAUUGUAUGAGAUUUAUCAACGAAAUUCAUGGAAUGCACACUUGUCCAAUUUUUAAGGAAUAAAAAGAGGGUUAUGAAGUUGUUUAACAUAAAUCAUGGAGUAGUGACCAAUUAUUCCGAUCCAUAAGCAUUUUCAUUAUCAUUUUACGGAUUACAUAGGAUUGUUAGCUUUGUGAAUUUGGAAUAAACUGCAUUCGUCAUUUUUCAUUGUGUGUCUCUCUCGUACCAUCAAGCAUUAUCAUUUUUUAGAUGAGUGUUUUUUUUUUGAAGAAAUCCUUACACGAUUUUUUAGGGUUAAGGCCUACUGCCUUAUGGUUUAUAAGGCCAUGCUUUGGAAGACCUGGAUUCUAUAGCUACAGAAUUGUUCUGCAGUUGUAGGAAUUGUUAUGUUAUAUUUCGAGAAAAUCCCAUUCUCCAAUGAUUUAAACACACCCUACUUUGGACCACUUCAUUUGUUUUAACAAAAAUUGGACCACUUCAUUGUAUCAUCUAUCAUGAUCUCGGUGGAAGGUCUCGUUCUCUCUCUCAUAUUUAUUGUACCACUUUAUAAAGAAUCCCAGGAUUUUCUUAAAAGAAUCCAUGACAUGCUUUAUUGGUGUUGACAUCUCAAAUUUCAUUUCAUACUAUUUUUAAGUAAUUUCACCACCGUAAUGACUCAAUUUUAUAUAUAGACAACCAUGUUAUGAAAGUUAUCAAUAAUUUUGAAAAUUAAUAUGAAAAAUUCCUAGCUUCUACAAACCUCAAAAGUGAAAGAUUGAGUUUCAAUGGUGUUUGGUUUGCCUUUUAAGAAUUGUUUCUAUCUUCCAUAAGAAACUCUCCUUAUAGCUACAAUUCAUAGCUUUUGGUUUUCAUAGAAUCAAUUCUACGUUAAAUUUUAUAUUUUCAUUAUUACAACCUAUUAUUUUCCUAUUUUGCCCUUUAUCAAUUCUCCUUCUGUUUGCUUUGUAAUUAACUUGAUGAACCAAAUUUAAUCAGAAAACUUAACGAACCAAAUUAGCCUCCGAAAAAUAUUUAUUGUCAUGAGUUACCAAAUUUUGGAUUUUCUUUUACGGUGUCCCCAUUCAGAUUUAGUGUAUUUUUUCCUUUACCUUUCUUUUACGCUAUAUUUUAUCAUUUUUAGCAACUAACUUUAAUAUUAUUUAACUUAAAUAUAUUUUAUCAAAAAAAUGAAAUAUAUGAACAAAUAUUUUGUAAAAAAAUUAGUUUAAUGAUCGUAUUUAUUAUGUUUUAAAUUAAUAUAUAGAAAAUUUAUUUAUAUUAAAUAAUAUAUCUACAUUUAAUUGAAUUUAGUUAUGUCGUAAUUAUACAUUUAAAAAUAAUUUUGAUAAAAAUUAUCCAAACAACAUUCAGUUUGUUUAAUCAAUUCUACAUUAUUGUAUCCAAAUAUAAACUAAUUCUCUCAAAAUUAAUUCUGUCAUAAUCAAUUUUAUCCAAAGUUUAAUCAAACGCAAAGUAACUUUUCCCAGAGCCAGUUUGUUCAUGUGUAUUUUUCAAUAAAGUGAUUGAUAUGGGAUUAAUAAAUAAAUAGUAACCAUGCACGACGUCAUCAUAGUCACAAUAUAUAUUCAAUCAGCAUUGUAAUGUAAAGGUAUAAAUCCUAUUUUUACGCCAUACUAUAAAUAGCAAAGAUGUGACCAUACAAUGUAAAUUUGAUUUUAACCAAAAUAUAUUGCAUGCACGCAACACUCGAUUAUUAUCAUUAAUUAUGAAAGACAAUCAUAUCCGGUAUACUUUGAAGGUGCCAUGCACUCCAAAUGAAGGAAAAGAAAUGAGUAUAGGCAAUGCUUUAGCACAUGGGGACGAGUAAGGGAUUUAUCUAGAUAGAUGCUGUCCUUUUUCCUUUCCCUCUCUCAUGCAUGGCUCUUGAAGUUAUGAGUGCAAUCAUGUGCAUGUCAUGUACAAACAAAAUCACGAAUAUCAUAUCAAAAGAGUAACGAAAUUUGUAUAAUAUAUGAUGACAAUUUUGUUACUCCUCUGUUCCGCAAUAAAUGACAUAUUUGAAUAUGUGCAAUUUUGAUCUAACUUAUUUUGACCAUAUUUUUCUACUAAUAUACAAAGAUAAAUAAUAUCAUAUAAGAUGUCGUUAGAUUCGUCUCGAUGAGUAUUUUCAAAAUAUCAAAUUUUCAUAAUUUUUUCCAAUAUAUUAUUCAAGAUAUUUAAACUCAAAAUUACGCAUUGAUAUGCGUAAUUGGAUCAACUGUGUCACUUAUUAAGGGACGGAGGGAGUACAAUUUUUUUUAUUGAUAAAAAACAAUAGAAAAAAAAAAAGAGAUGAUAAGAACAUGAGUAUGAGAGAAAGAGAGCUGUUCAAAAGUUAUUACAAAAUGAUUGUACAAAUAUAAGUGUAAAAUACUUGGUAAUAUCGUUUCACCUACGGUGUUAAGUUGGUUAUUCAAUUCUUACAAUGUUCUUGCUAGAGAAAAUGCGAGAACACUCUCAUUUUAAGACAUUUUCUAUCACUUAUUAUUAUCUUAUAUGAUAAAACUUAUAUAAGUUUCAUCACUUUACAUAUGAUUUAUUUUUAAUGUGUGAAACUCAUAUAAGUUUUACACCAAUUAUAAAAGAAUGAGUGUUAAAGAGAAUAUUAAAAAAAUAUUCAUAGCAUUUAUGGUUCUAAUAAAGAGUACUCCUAGUAUCUUCGCUGGACACAUGUGGUAAUUGAGAAAAUGAAAACGAAAAUAAAAAUUAUGCAUUAUUGAUUUUCUAUUUUAAUUAAAAUAAUAUUUUAGUCCAUUCAUUUGUUCUUCUUGUUUUUUUUUUUUUUUUAUUUUACAAAAAGAAACAACAUUCAUUCAUUUACAUUGAUAUAGUAUAUUAAAACCAAGACACAAAUUUAAGAAUUAAACUCAAACCUUAAACGACUAAUAUUGUGAGACGGAGAGAGUAUUGCUAAAAAUGAAAAAAAAUGAUGAAUCUGCAAACAAACUCAUAAUAUCUAAAUGUAAAUUUUGAAUCUAUAAUCAUUUUAAGCUAUGUAAAAAUGAAAAUUUUAUGAGAAGAAUGUAGUAACAUUUCUUUUCUAACUCUAUUCUUCUAAGGCCUUCACUUAAUCUUCAUGCGAAUAAAAACCAAAAUAUUUUGAUAGUAAGAAAUCGUAUUCUCCCUUUUAUGUAUUAAUAAUGUUUCUCUAAUCCGUCAGAAUAAUAUGAGAGUGAUAAUUUGGAGUUCGACUGUGAAGUAAAUAUAAUUGACUAAAAAUAUUUCAUUUAAGAAUUAAACUCGAGUUGUUUCGAAUGAUCUAUAAUUUGGUCGAGUUUAUUAAUCACUUGAACUCAAUUUUUUUGGUGGUGAUUGAGGUUUGAGCCUCAAACCUUGUUUAUAUUAUGUAUUGUCUCUACCAACUCAGCCGAACUCAUGAGGAUAAUCAUUUGAACUCAAUUGUUAAUGGAAAAACGUUUCUUUAAUUAAUUAAAAUUGUUUCUAUUAAAAUGGGAGCACGAUAAUUGCAUUAAUAAUGAAAAUAAAAAAGUACUGGUAUAAUUGAACAAAGGCCCCACUGUAAUUUCCUCAACGAAUGAGAAAGAAAAACAUUAUCCGAUCUAUUAUUGCUAUGGGAAGGACAAGGUACCGGGCAUUUAUGAUAAUUAAUUAAUUUUGCCUUUAUUUAGGGGAUUAAUUUUGCUUUGUUAUGAGUACUUUUCAUAGAUUUACAAUAUGCUUAAACAUGGAAAGGAGAAGACUAACGAGUGUCCCAAAGAUAUUGAUUAAGCAUACAAAACAAAUAAGUUUUCCUAAAAAAUGUGCAUAACAUCUUAUAUUUUUAAGACAAAACUUAUAUUACUAGAUUCCUUAACUAUUGCUUUUGGGGUAUAGGUUAGCAAGAUCCAAAAAGAAAAUAGAAAAAAAAAAGUCAGCAACCAACUACACAAAUGACGACAAGGGAUGACAAAGAUUACACUUUUGAGUAAAUUUAGGAAUUUGCACUUUCCACUUUUUCAAUUUCAGUCUUUUUAUACCAUCUUGGAUAUUACUCCAAUUUUUACCCUUAACCCGGCAGCUUUAAAUAGUCCCUAUUAGUAGCCAUCAGAUUGAUAAAUAGAAACUCAUUGAAUUAAUUUCAACCCAGCAGCUUUAAUCAAAAUUUCGUAUAGUUUGGUGACCAUAUUUAAUAGGUUUAACAACAAUUUUGGCCCCAUAUGUUUUAAUAAGUUGCAAUUUUGGUUCUCUACCAGAAUAAAAUACAAAACCGUCCCUUAAAUAUUACCCUUUUGCAGUUUUGACUCCAGACCAAUUUUGAUCAAGUCAAAGCUGAGUGGACACCACGUAUGCAUUGAUUUGGUCAAAAUUGGUAUGGGGAGCCAAAACUGCAAAAGAGAUAAUACUUAUGGGGCGGUUUUGUAUUUUAUUUUGUUAUGGGUCAAAAUCGCAACUUCUGGAAACAUUGGGGGCCAAAACUGAUAUUAAACCUAUUUAAUAUGAUGUAUACAUCCUUAUGUUUUUAUUAGAGUAAAUAGUCAAUUUCCCCUCUGAAUUAACAAUACUUCAAUUUACAAGAAAAUGAAUGAAUAUAUGCCAAAGAAAUCAUGAUUUUGUCAUGUGGAGCCUUUUCAUUCAUAUUUCAUAUUUAUCAACAAGGAGCAAGAUAAAUUUUUUACAAAGAAGGUAAAACUAAAAACCAAACAUUCAAAAGAUAUCAAGUUGUUGAAAUAAACCAAGACAAGAAUGUCAUAGCAGCAGAAAAUUGAUAUCUAUCACAUAACUUUGUAGUACAAUGUGAUCUACCGGCUUCAUGCAGAAGGUAUAUGACAUAAUCUAUUUAACAUGCUCCAACUAAUAGAUAUGACAUUUCCUGUAUUAUAAAAAUUAUAUCAUUAAUUAAGUUGCAAAUUCACAAACCUAAGCCUUGUUUCUUCUUCCAUCUGCAGAUAUUAACCUAUGAAUUUUCUUUAUGGACACACAAUUAUCAAAGACUUGUGUACUUUAUGACUGCUUACUCUAACAUAAUUACCAACUUGUGUAAAAAAAAUUCUUCUAUAUAUGUAUAUAUUUAAAACACAUGAGAGUAACAUACCUUCCAUAAAGAUUUAUAUGACCAAUAACUGCAUAAACAUACAUUCCAUGCAGAUUUAUAUGAUCAAUAAUUGUUAAUUUGUUUGCCUUUAAUAUCUUGAGUCAAGGAUAAAAAAAUAAUAUAAAUUUUCUAGUUUAGGAGGCAUUUUGCACAUAAGUGUAAAAUUUCAGGGGGGUAUUUGAUCAUAACCGUAAACAGUUAACAGAAAAAUUUGACGGAGGGAGUAAAUUGAUUAAUGUUAUGCAAUUUCAGGGGGGUAAUUGAAGUUUUGUUAAUUUCAGGGGGUAAUUGACGAAACCUAUAAUUUCAGGGGGGAAAUUGACUAUUUACUCGUUUUUAUUAUAAGCAAAAUUUCAUUUUUUUUAUAUUUAUUAAAUAAUUGAUAUAUUUGGUCUAUAUUACAAAUUAGAUAUAUUAAUAUUCAAUCCUUUGUCUGAUUGGAUAAAAUGAAACUUUGAUGGUGCUGCAAUUGGAGUACCGGGUAAUGCAGCUUGGGGUGGUAUUUUUAGAAACUAAAAUGGGGAUCACUUAGGAAGUUUUGCUUUCAACAUAGGCAAUGACAACGCUUUACAUGGUGAGCUAACCGGAGCAAUGAUGGGAAUAGAAAUUGCAGCGUCAAAGAAUUUGUCGAAACUUUGGUUAGAGACAGAUUCCAAAUUAGUUGCUUCAGCUUUCAAGAAUCCUUCUUUAGUUCCUUAGAGAAUAAGGAAUCAAUAGUUUAAUUAUAUUCACCUUUCAUUAUAUAUGAGAUUUUUGGUUGCUCGUAUAUUUAUGGAAGAAAAUUAUUGUGCAGACAAAAUGACAAAUAUUAGUUUAACUUCUCAGAAUUUAGUUUGGUUAGAUGAUGUACACAGGGAUAUCAGAGUGGAUUUUAAAAAAGGGCAAUGCGGUGCAUUAGAGCUUCCGCAUAUGCAAUAGAAAUGGGCCAGCCCGCCUCGAUCCGUUUAUGAUUGGGCCGUGAAUUCUAGAGCCUGGCCUGGCCUGUUUAUGUUUUAUUUUUAAAAUUUAUUCACUUUUUUGAUGUAUUUUCGUAUGUAUUAGUUACUCACCAUUAUUUUUUUGCUAAAAUAUGAUUGGAUGAACAUAAAAAUAUAAAUAAUUUUUACAUUAACAUUGAAUAAUAAUUAAACUCUAGAUUAUUCUUUCAAUUAAAUCAAAUUAAUAAUUUAUAAACUUUAAAAUUUAAAAACUGCAAGCUAAAUUCAUCCAUAUUUAUUAAGUUUAUUUAUUUAAAUAUUUUUUUGUUAAUAAAUUUUAAAUUAUUUGAUAAUUUUUUUAAAAAAUAUGUUGUUUUUUAACAAAAAUAAAAUGAAAUAUGGGCUAAUGGGCCGGCCCAAAGUCCGGUGGGCCAGUCCGACUCAACUUUUGUAUGGCCCAAAUGGGCUUGGGCCGAAAAAGCCCGAGUGCAUUUUUUGGUUAGUUUUUUAGGCCCGGCCCAUGAGCCCGACCCAUUUUUGACAGCUCUAAUUGUACGCAGCUUUACCUUGUUUUACACAAGAGGCUGUUUCCAGGAUAUCAGAGCGGACUUUGCUAGGAACAAAUUAAGGUCUCUCUUGUUUUCGCUUUGCUAACUGAAAGGGUUUUGGCCGGUAUAGUCUACCAUUUCCUCUUUUGUUCCCUUUUUAUUUCUAUAUUUACUAGGGGCAACCCGUUUUUUUGCUUAAAAAAGACAGUAAAAUAACAUCAUCAGUGUGUAUAUCUCUAAUAGCGACAUUACUUCUUCAGUACGACUUUAUGAUGAUCCACGAGUGAUUGUAUAGAUCAUGGAUUCUCUCUAUUUUUUAGUAAGAGAAAUGGAAUUGGAAAUGUAUAUUAUUAUAGUUUUGAAGUAAAUAAAAAUAUAAAUACACGUCUGUGUGAAGUUAUCUUAGUUAGUAAGGACAUUUAAUAAAAUAUGUAGGGGUCGGUGUUCGAACCUCAGAUAUCCUACUUAUUCAUCUUAUAAAUGUCAUUUUUUAGACAAUAAAUUACUUGAUUAAAUAAUAAUGAUAUAAUACACUUUUUUUUUUUUUUAAAAUUGAAGACAUUAAUUAUAUUUAUGGAGUAUAUCAAAAACUAUAUAGUAAUCAAGAUGUCUAUUUAUUAUAAGAAAUAAAGAUGACUUAUAAUAAUUAAGAUGUCCAAUUUGAAAAAUCUUUUAAAAUAACUAAGAUUUAUUCAAGAGAAUGAUGUCUAGCAAUAUACUCCAUCCGAUCUCAAUUAUAAGUAAAAGUUAAUUUUUUAUAUUAAUUCAAUAAAUAAUGAAUUCAAUAAAUAUUAUAGACAAAAUAUAUUAAUUAUUGAAUGAAUCUAAAAAUGUAAAUUUUUGUUUAUAAUUGAGACCGGAGAAAGAGAAUAUAGCACUUUGAACUUGAUCCUUUUCAUGUAACAUGUCCUUCAUUCUCUCUCCAUCAUCUCUGCUCUCUGCUUGGAUUCUAUCCUUCACCGUACAAAGGGGCAUGAGAGAGAAUAGAAAAUUGUAGGGUAAGAAAGAGGUAAAAGAGGAGAGAAGAGAUGAGAUUGAUAGAGAGGAUAUGUAUGGUGAUUGAGAGAUGAAAGAAGAUAAUCCAAAUCAAUGUUCUUACUAAUACAGUGCGUGGUCGUCAUGUCAGAUUAAUAAUACAGUUCAUGCACAUGAUAUUCAAUCUUCACAGUAAUAACUUUUGUAUUUUCUAGACAAUGUUCCAAUCAUUUUUUUCAAAGAGUUGAAAGUUUAGCAUAGAUAUAAAUUAGAAAACUUGGUUGAAAAGUAACAAUCGAGCAAAAUAAUUCAAAAUUAGCAGCACAAGUCCUGCAACAUUAUGACAUCGUCUACAAAACAAUAGUAAGAUAUUGUUAACUAAGAUUUUCAGAAAAUAAGAUUGCCUCAAAAACUAAAUAAUUAAGAUUUUACUCGCAUAUUAUAAAUCCAUAUAUAAUAUUUAUAUCAUAAAACUGUUGCAUUAUAAAACAGCAUUUCUUUUAAUUUUAGUUUUUUUGUACAUAAAAAGCAAUAAUAAACAACUCAUUAACUGUACCUUAUAAAGGACCACACAUAAUGUCUCUUCACAUGAAAACGACUGCUCUAUGAAUUGAUUUUUUAUUUUUUUUAACAAAAUUGGAACUAUCAUUUGCUUGAUAUCUUGUGGAAACAGACUAAUUUUUAUAGCUCUUUGGAAGGCGAAUUCAACUCUUAGUAUGUUUGUGGGGCAUUAUUUAACCCAGCCGCUGAAAAUAGCAUAGGGCUGUUGAAAUGAAAUACACUAUCUGUUUCUCAAGUUCAUUUUAGGCAGAACUCCAAUUUGAAUUCUUACCCAUAUUAUUGAAAACUAUAAAACAAAAUCAAUACAAUGAUGGUAUCAUUUAAGCAACAAAAUGCACAAACUACAAAUACAUUAGCAUAUGCUUUACAUUAUCACUAUUUAUACAACACGGUAAUCGGCUAUGACCAACCCGUAAAUGUCCAUAUUAGUUUUGCUCAAAUGCAAUUGUAGUUUGGUCUUAGCCUGUCUAGGCUAUAAGCGCAUACAACCUUAAAGCCCUAGGAGAACCAGCUCACCUCUUGCCGCGAGGUCCAGGCCCGCCACUUCUUCGGCCAGGAGACCGAGAAAACUGAAGGCGCAAGUAGCUUGACUCAGGAUUGAUUUCAUCAACUUUAUAGCCUGCAUAACCCGUGAAGAAAUGAAUGCAUAAUUAACAGAAAAUCAUAAACAACUUAGUUCAAAUCCUAAUAGAGUUUAUCAGCGACUAAGAUACUUUAGGAACCAAUAAUUUGCAGAAUUUUGUAGUACAGAAUACAGAGGAGGCAGACACACUAAAGUGAAGGAUGAUAAUUAAAUCAGAAGUGAUGACCAUGAUAUUGAUAGUUAAUAUAACAGCAUCCCAGUAUGUGAAAAUUUAAUGUACUUUUGACCUGGAAUAUUACAAACAGAACCAUGGAUGUUGGGACCCAUUUUCAGUUUUAACUGCUCUAGUAACUGUAAAGUAUUGGUUUGAAUCAAGCUCUACAUCACAUGUAACUCACACAUUCAGUGUGACAAAGUGAUUUACAACUUUCCAAGUUGUAAACCUCGGUAAAUCUAUGAAUUAUUACUUGUUUAUAAACAUUAAAUUCAUCACCACUUAAUAACCACGUCUUGAUUCAGCACCAACUACCUAGGUGCAGUUUUCAAUUUUU